rnacentral:lncRNA from 1 species
CAUAGGCAGAAAAUCAUGCGAAAGGCCUGAUAUAUAACAAGAGCGAAUUCUUGGUGCGAGUACCAGUCCAGCAUCCAUACUCAAUUCUUUGAAAGGCCCUUCAAUUUACCUGGAUUUCUCCAAUGAACAAUCAACUUGUCUCUUCUUUUUCCUUCAGCAGUCCUCCUUCGUGGGAGUAUGAUGUCUUUUUGAGCUUCAGAGGAGAGGAUACACGAACCAAUUUUACAGAUCACUUUUACAAGGCGUUGGAGGACAAGAGAAUCACCACGUUCAUUGAUCAUCAACUUAAAAGAGGAGAAGAAAUAUCUCAGGCUCUUCUCGAAGCAAUUGAUGAGUCGAGAAUUUCGAUUAUUGUAUUCUCUAAAAACUAUGCAUCUUCAAGAUGGUGCUUGGAAGAGCUCGAACGUAUCCUUGAAUGUAGAAAGUCAAUGAAGCAAAUAGUUUUGCCAAUUUUUUACAAAGUGGAUCCGUCCCAUGUACGAAAGCAAAUGAGUAGUUUUGGUGACGCGUUUACAAAACUCAAGUGCAAAUUCGAAGACAACAAGGAGAAGAUCCUCACAUGGAGUUGUGCUCUUACAGAUGCAGCCAAUUUGUCAGGAUAUACUUUCAAAGAGGGAGAGUACGUAUAUUUCUUCCCCUUAUACUGCCCUUAAUCUGAAAAGAUGACUUUACCUGAAAUUCAAUUUUCUUUACAUAAAACUCAACCUAGUUUUUGUGCUUGACUAAUUAAGCUUAACAAGUUAGAUUUUAUAUCUUUUGGUUUCCUAAAACACACCUAAUAACAAUUUGAUUCUCUUGCAUAUUUAUAUCCUCUUAUUGUGUUAAACCUAUUGCAAGUUUAACUGGUCAUUACUAAUUGCGUUAAAUUUCGAAUUGGCUGGAUUAAUUACCCGAGUGUACCCAUUUUUUGUUGUUCAAAUUUUAAAUUUAUUAAUAUAUUUUGGUUUCCUAAUUUGCCUUUUUAUUCAAAAUGGUCCCUGAGAUUUGCAUCAUCUAUAAGUUUGGUCCCAGAGAUUUAAAAUCAAUAGAAGUAGAGUAGUCAUUGAGAUUGUCCACCAUCUAUGAUUUUGGUCCUUCCGCUGAAGCUUUUGGCCGGAAGUUUGGGCAAUUUUCAAAGCUUCGUAACUCAAUCGUUUCUUAACCAAAUUCAACCCGUAAUAUAUCAAAAUGAAGAUAGGAAAGUAUAUAAUAAUAUUAUAUCAUUUGGAAGCCCAAUGGUUGUCGGAGAUGGUCGGAAAACAGCCUCCAAAUUGACUGGUCAGAUGAAAAAUUGGAAAACUCGUCGGAAACUGGGUAAACUUUAAACAUUCAUAACUUCUUCAAUACUCAACGAAAUUAAGUGAUUAAAAAACAAAACUCAUACUUCUCGACGAGAAGAAGAGAAUGGUACCUUUUUCAACGGCUAAAUCGCCGUGGUUUUGCCGGAAAAUGGCUCGAAAGUUUCUGACUUGUUUUUCAACAGCCACUUUCAAGCCGUUUUCCGGCCAAACCAUGGCGCGUUAGCCGUUGAAAAAGGUACCAUUAUCUUCUUCUCGUUGUGAAGUAUGAUUUUAGUUUUUGCAAUUGAUUUCCUUGAGUAUUGAAGAAGUUAUGAACGUUUAAAGUUUACCUAGUUUUCGGCGAGUUUUCGGCAAAUUUUCCAAUUUUCCCUCGGAUCAGUCAACUUUGAGGCUAUUUUCUGACCAUCUCUGGCAAUCAUUGGGUUUCCAAUUCGAUAUAAUCUUAUUCUACACUUUACUUUCUUCAUUUUGAUAUAUUAUUGGUCGAAUUUGGUUAAGAAACGAUUGAUUUACAAAGUUUUGAAAAUUGCCUAAACUUCUGGCCAAAAGCUUCAGCAGAAGGACCAAAGUCAUGGAUGGUGGACAAUCUCAGGGACUACUUCUAUUGAUUUUAAAUCUUAAGGACCAAACUUAUGGAUGAUGCGAAUCUCAAGGACCAUUUUGAAUAAAAAGUCUUCCUAAUUUUGUUUGAAAAAUCAAUUUACCUAUGGUGUUGUUUUAUAAUUUACCGAUUACUAAUGAUGUUUGGUAAAUUAGUAUGUUUAGGAAAGAAAUGAUUCAUAUCCAUACAAAACAUCUUUUUUUCAUCCGAACAACAAAAUAACAUUUAAAUGCAAAAAAAAAAAAAUGUCUGUCUUAAUAUUUUUUUUAACAAAAGGAAAAAAAAGAGUCAAUGUCCUAAGUAUGGAAAGAUGUUAGGAUUUUACACAGUAAUAAACGGCAAUGUCAAAUUGUGAAUAAUGGCAUAGGGGUAAAUCAUUUUCAUUAAUGGGUCAAUUAUUAUCUUACAUGAUUCUGUAUUUAGUUGCAAGCGGCACAUGCUUGACUGCAGCAGUGAUUAUCCAUACCUCUGUUUUUUUCAAUUUUUUUUUCUUUUUAUUCUCUUCUUCUUUUUACAUUUUUUUUUUCCUUUUUCAAAGAAAUAUAGCAGAAAAAGUUGAUUGGCUAAAUGUGUCAAAUUUUUAUAUAAACUGGUAGGUAUGAAGCUACAUUUAUCGGUCAGAUCGUGAACGAGAUCCUAAUCCGUGUACUACAACGCCCGCAUUUGAAUGUAGCCAAAUACCAAGUUGGAAUGGAGUCUUGUGUAGAAAAGGUGAAAGAGCUUUUAGAUGGUGGAAAUGAUCCGUGUGUGGUUGGGAUUUGGGGGGCAUCUGGAAUCGGCAAGACAGAAGUUGCAAAAACUGUUUAUAAUGCAAUUGCUUAUAAGUUUGAAGGUCGUUGUUUCCUGGCAGAUGUUCGAGAAAAGUCAAUGCAAUACGAAGGCCUACUCCAACUACAAAACACUCUUCUAAGUGAGAUUGGUGGUUCAGAGUGGAAAGCUGUCAAUACUCAUAGAGAAACAUCCUUAUAGAGAAACUGUUGAGGCGAAAGAAGAUUCUCUUAAUUCUUGAUGAUGUGGAUGAACUGGAGCAUUUAAACAACUUGGUUCAAGUUGAAUGGCUCGGUGAGGGUAGCACAAUGAUCAUAACCACGAAAGAUAUUGGAUUGUUGAAAUCUUAUGACGUUGAGUUGAUAUACAAGGUCCAAAAGUUAAAAGACGACAAGGCUCUUGAGCUUUUAAGUUGGAAUGCCUUCAGAAAAAAAGAACCUUCAGAUGAUUAUUUGGGACUCGCACGACGUGCAAUAGCAUAUGCUCAAGGCCAUCCGUUAGCACUUAAUCUUAUAGGUUCUUAUCUACAUAAUAAAAGUAUAGAUCGUUGGCAAGCUGUAAUGGAUAGUUACGAUUCUUACGAUAGAGAACCUUAUGGAGGAAUUCAAAAAAUACUUCGAAAAAGUUAUGAUACCUUGGAUUAUGUCAUGCAACAAGUUUUUUUAGACAUUGCAUGCUUCUUCAAGGGCGAAGAUAAAGAUUACGUGUUACAAAUAUUAAGAAGUUCGAAGCUCAGUGUACCUCAAGAUUGUAUUGAUGUACUCGUUGAGAAAGCCAUCAUAACUAUUGAAUAUAAUAGAAUUUUGAUGCAUGACUUGCUAGAAAAAAUGGGUAAGCGUAUAGUUCGUGAAGAAUCGCCCACUGAACCAGGCGAGCGGAGCAGAUUGUGGCAUCCUGAACAUGUGUAUCGUGUUCUAACUGAAAACAGAGUAAGUAGAAUAUAUGUUCUUGCAUUUGGUUUAAUUGGCAUGAUUUUGAAAAGAAAAAAAAAUAGAAAACCCUUCUGGUUGGUUUGUUAUACGAUUUGUUUGUUAACACUAUUUAUUUUUCCAUCUUAGGGAACAAAGAAAAUUAAAGGCAUUGUGGUGAAGUUGCCCAAACCAGAUGUGAUACCCUUGAAUGCAAAAAGCUUUUUCAAGAUGGAAAAUCUUGAAAUUUUUAUAAUCCGUAAUGCACACUUUUUUGGAUGCGUUGAGUAUCUACCUGACGAUUUGAGGUGGAUUGAAUUUGGUGGAGAUGGGCUUCAAGACUGGGGAUCCAAUAUUCUUCAAAAGCAUAUAUUUACAUUCAAUUUGCAAUCCAAUUGUCAUCUAAGGCAUCUUGUCACGUUUAUUAUGCCAAACAGUGACAUCAGACAAUUGAAGGUAUUUCAGGUAUGUAUACGUAUUAUAAAUUAAUUUGGACAAUUACUAAUUUAAUUGUAUAUUUUAUUUUUGGAAAAAGAAAUUUGCCAAAGCUUUUCAUCAUUAAUUAUUCUAUUUAAAGUUUGUGAUUUUGUUUUCUUUUGAUUUUGAUUUCACAGAAUUUGGCAAAGCUUACAUCUUUGGAUUUAAGUGGUUCCGAAUUCUUAGAAAAAAUUCCCAACUUAUCCGGAAGUCCAAACCUAAGGGAGUUGAUUCUAGAUGAGUGUAAAAGUUUAGUUGAAGUUGAUGAUUCUGUUGGAUUCCUUGAUAAACUUGAUACAUUAAGUCUUUAUGGGUGCUCUAGGCUUGAGAGAUUUGCGACGAGACUUAGAAUGAGAUCCCUUCAAAGCCUUAAUCUUGAAGGUUGCACAAGGCUCAAGAGUUUCCCAGAAAUAGAGGCCAAGAUGGAAUCUCUACAGUAUUUGAACAUAUCAGAAAGUGGCAUAAGAGAAUUGCCUUCAUCAAUUGCAAAUCUAACUGGGCUUGAAAUGUUGAAUGCAAAUGAAUGUGAAAACCUUACAGGUACAUCAUUACAUCACAUUUAUGGGUUGCAACAUCUCGACUGUAUUGAAAUGGAUGGAUGCCCAAAACUGGUGAUAUUUGGGAAGUUUUCAACUAGCUUAGAUACUUCACAUUACAACAGUGUCCCAUUAGCCCUUUUCAACGUACGCCAUCUUUAUCUUGGUGAAUGCAAUUUAUCAGAAAGUGAUUUUCUUGUGCCUCUUCAAUAUGAACCAUCCAGUCUUCAUUGCUGGUGGUCCACAUUAACAGAUCUUAAUCUGUCGAGAAACAAUUUUGUUAGUCUUCCGAAUUGCAUUAGCAAAUUUGUCAACUUGGAAACACUUUAUUUGACUGGUUGCAAGAGGCUUCGGGAAAUUCCACAUGCCCUUCCACCAAAUCUAAGUUGUUUAUUUCUGGAAGAGUGCUCAUCAUUGGAGAAAAUUCCAAAGUUGCCCUCGGGGCUUAGGCUUCUGCGGUUGACUAAUUGCUUUAGACUAAGUGGCGAUGAGGUGGCAAAGUUGGAAAAUAAUUUGUUGAACUUGAAUCAGGUUCGUCUCUCCUCUCUUAAUUUCUCUUGAAGUUAAAAUAUAUAAUUUGUAGAUACUUGGGAGGGAGAACCGAUCAUGAUUGUUUGUAAUUAGUUAUUUACAUAUUAUUCACUAUUGCAGGAAACUCUUCGGUGCUCUCAAUUGCAGGUUACGUAUCCAGGCGAUGAAGUUCCAAAGCGGUUCAACUAUACCUCUAAACAUUCAACUAUACCUUAUUAUGGUGGAAGUGAAUUUAGUUUUGAAAUUCCUCUAAAUUUACAGGAGAGGGAGACGUUAUUAGGAUUGGCUCUAUCUUUUGUUUUUCAACCACGGCCUUUAUCAGAAGAAUUUGGAUAUGAUUACAAUUUUCGUAUUCACAUCAACGAAGCAAGUGAUUAUAAAGAAUUUAAGUGGAAUGGGGAAGGCAUGGAGACAGCUCAUGUGGGGCUCAUGUUAGUGGAUUUAGAGAAGCAGGGAGAAAGCCCAUGUGGGGCUCAUGUUAGUGGAGAUAUUUGUAAAGUUAAAUUUCAUUUCCCCGCAGGGGCAGGCAUUAAAAGCUGCGGGGUGCAGCCCCUAUUGCGCAAAGGAGAUGAACAGCUUCCCUCGUCUUUGGAACCAACGAGUAGCCUUGGAUCCUCAGAUAUCGUCAAUGAUGAAUAUGAUCGGCAACAACAAUGGCCUUCCUUAUCUUCGAACCCAGCGGAUGAUCAUCCGACACACACACAGAUUGAUCACAAUGUUCCUUCUGAUAUUGAGGAGGAGCAAGAGCAACCGUCCACCAUUUCUGAUUUACUAGGAGUUUGGGUACGUACAUUUCAGUUUUAGUGAUUUUUUUUUUAUUAUUCUUUAUUGUGAUAUCUUUUUUAAAUUAAUAUAAUUAAAAUUAAUUAAUUUAAAUUAAAUAAAGGAAAAUUUUUGAACAAUCUGCAUAAUCAAAGAUUUCAUAUCUUUAGAAACAAAGAUUUCAUAUUUGUAGGUGGUUAGUUAUUAGAAUCAACUUGAUUGAUCUCGACCCUCAUGAUCUCAUAGGUCUCGGCCUGCGUCGGUUGUUUAAAUUUCUGGUGUAAGCCAAGAAAGUGAACUCAUUAAUGCUGCUGCUCUAGUUAGUCAGCCUGUUGUUUCUGCCAAGGAACCGACAAGCCUGCGGUCUAUUUGUGUUCCACCAUCGGAACCUGGGAGUGACGCGUGCAUUAGUUGUUGGAAUUGGACUUCAAAUUCUUGAACAGGUUUGGUUGAAAAAGUUAAAAGGGAAAUUUUAUUUAAACUCAUAUAACUUUUUUUCUACACUCCUCAGGUGUAUGAGCAGGCUGGUAUCGCCGUUCUUCUAUCUGACAUAGGGUUGAAUCCGACAUCUGCAUCUCUCUUCGUAAGUGCCAUUACAACUUUCUUAAUGGAUAUAGCUAGUAGAAGAUAAUUUCGAACACCUUCGGUUUCCUAGAACAGAUUGCUAACUUUUAAUCAAAAUUAUAACUAGGGUACACUAUCCAAAUGAUAAAAUACAGUUUAGUGUCCCUUCAGUUCUAUUUUAGACUAAAAGUUUGUAACCGGUUCUAUCUAUGCAUAUUUGCGGAAAAUAAGCUUUCCUUUUUGCCUUUCUUGGUAUGCAGGUCACUGCUGCUCUCCACAUUAUAUUGUCCCUCACUCUUCUUGUAGUUGCCAACAUUGUCAACUUGGGAACUGUUCUGAAUGCAACAAUCUCCACCGCCGUGCCUGCUGCUUCGUCAUGGCAUUUGGAGUAACCCCGAACAUUCUCUGCUCAGAGAUCAUGCCUACGAGCAUCCACGGCCUCUGCAUUGCCAUCUGUGCCCUCACAUUCUGGAUUGGAGACAUCAUCAUCACUUACGCAUUUCCUGUCAUGCUCUCCUCCGUUGGAUUUGCUGGCAUCUUCGGAAUCUAUGUUGUCGGGUGCAUCGUUCCUGGAUAUUUGUUUACUUGAAGGUGCCUGAAACUAAAGGCAUGCCUCUUGAAGGUAGCUGCUGCUGAUGCAUCUGUUGGAUUCCAAUGAUAACUGAUUUGAUUUAUUUAGAGGGUUUGAAAGUUUGGUUUGGCUUUAGACGGGAUUAUGAGGACAGGAUUUGAGUUGGAAAAAGUGUUGAUGACUGGAUUGGAUUUUUAGAAAGUGAUUUUGUAAUCAUCACUAUCUACUGAUUGCUUGUCUGACAUAUUUUUUAAAAAUUAGUGUCUGAUACUAAUUUGACUUGCCUAUUUUAACCAUUUAUUUAUAUCAUCAUUUGUAUCAUCUUUCUAAUAAAAAUGAGACUCACAUGCAUUUACAAGCCGUAAAAAAAUUAUAUACAAAUAGAUGAUAAAUAUAGCACUACUAUUUUUGUAAUAUUUUUUAAAAUUUUGUAGAACGAAAAAAAGGAAAAGAAGAGAGACUGUUUUAACUGCAGGCCUAAAAGCAGAGCCCUGUUGCCGCGUAGCACUAGGAAGUCAGUCAUCGUCUUCAGUCUUCACCAAAUUGAGUUAGAAGAAUUAGGGUUUUAGAGCUGCAAAGAUCCAAACUUUAUCAGUCUCUCCGAAAGUAAUUAGAGAAAUGGAAACCCAAUCAAGGGAUGGAGACUCUCUGGAGAAGCGGCCCGGCAUCUUCUUCCUCGGCUCCCCCGGCGUCGUCAAACGCUCUCUCAUUUCCCGUAUGCUCUCUCUCUUUCUCUCUCCUUUGGUCGAUAGAUUUCUAGGCUUACCGGGUUUGGAUUUUUGACGAUGCUUCUGAUUCUUCAUCGUCAUCUCAGCUGGUAGUUGAUGGGUAUGUAAAAUUUUGAACUUAGGGAUCAAAGAAUUCAACUCUUAUGAAUUUUGGGAACAAACAAUUCGUUUUGAAUUCUUUUGAAAUGUGUAUUUUGAUGACUUUUGUUGUAAAGAAAUAGAUGGAAUAUCUCUACAAAUUACUACACAGCUGGUGUUUCGGUAUGGUUGGUUCAUCUCCAUGACGAAUUUUUUAUAGAGUCCCUCCCAAUGUAUGAGCAGUUGGCUGCCUUGAUCUUGGUUUUCGACACAACUGAGGUUUUGGUCUCUUGCCACUCACUCUUUGUCACUUUGUUUACUUGUUUAUCAUGAUUUUCAAUGUGUCUUAUAUCAAUUUGCUCUCAUUAUGCUGCAGUUGUCGUCUCUGUCUGCGCUUCAGGAAUGGGUAUCUCAAACUGAUCUUCAAAAGUUCGAUAUACUAGUAUGCGUAGGGAAUAAGGUUGAUCGUGUUCCGGGUCACCCGGUUCGUGCCGAAUAUAGAAGACGACUGCAGAAGCUUGGAGACCCGUUUGCUGAUGCCGGUCCAGGGUUCACUGCGUAUGGAAUCUCCGAGACUGAAGGAAGCAGUUUAUUGGGGGAUGACGAGCCAUUUUGGGGGGCUAGCCACACAUGUUUGGAAUGGUGCACUGAGCAUAACAUUGAGUUCGUUGAAGCUUGCGCUUCAAAUACUGAUUUUGACAAAUGUAAGGUAGCCCUUCUUUCUGAUUUGUAGUUUAUGGCAAGUUUUAUACGAAAGUGAAAAAUAAAAAGUACCCUGCUCGAAGGUUACUUUCAUGUGUCAGCUUCAAUAUUAGAAAGAGUUGGUUAGCCUGAGAAAAUGAAUAAAAGUGAUAUCGUGAUAAAUGAGCACGUCGAUCGUACGGCACACAAAUUUCCUGCUUUGUUGGAUAUCUUUUAAGUUUAAGGUACUGUUUUACAGGUUUGUCAGUUGAUGGCGACUCGCAAGGUAUUGAAUGACUUUUUGGUGCUCUUUCCGCACAUAUGUGGCCUGAAAUGAUUCUGAAAUCAGGCGAUAAGAUUGCUGAACCGUCAUUACCUGAAAGAGGAGUAGGUUUUAUACUAUGCCGCUUAUAUUUGGUUUAUAAUAUAUAUUUUACUAUUAAGUAGGAUUCUAAAUGUCUGAAACUUGAAUCCUUUGUGCUAGACUUGUCAGAUGAAGAAUCUGAUUAUGAAUUUGAGUAUGAAGUCCUCUCUGCAGGUUCAGCUGAUCCAUUUGAUGACACGGAAGAAUGGGUUUCUGCGAAUGGUUUUGCUGGACCUUCAGAUAUGCGAGGACUGGCUGCUCAAGGUAAUCUAGUCCUAGAAUGCAAACAAGAGAAUGGAACCAGUUCUAAUAAGGAGGUUCCCCGUGCCUUGAACUCGACAGCUGCGUUGGAUGAUAGUAUUAGCAAAGGAGUAUCCAGUGCAGAAGAACCUGAACAGGACACAGAACAUGACCAAGCCCCAGAACCGGAUGAGGGUACGAAUUUUGAAUUUGAAGAUUUGGAACAGUCGAUGUCUGAGAUUGGGAACCUGCGCAACAGUUCGAGAUUGCUGCCGGAUUUUCAGAGAAGAGAUAUGGCUGAUAUGGCUGCAAUGCUGGCCAUGAAAAUGGCUACCAUGUUUGGGGUUGGCAGUGAUGGUGAAGUGGAAAGUAUCGGCGAGUAAAGGCUAUGAGUAUCUGUUGACCCUAGAAAUUACAAAGCCUACGUGGCGCGCAGGCCGAGUAUAUUCUAAGCUAACUACGUCCUUCGGUGAUUGCGGGGCGUGCCAACUCGUCGGCCGAGGUUCGGCCGAGGAAUAAAUUUGAUGAUGCUGUGUUGAGUCGCGCUACUGACUUUUGCGUCUUGCGAUUGCGGCCGAGAAAGGAACACGUCUCGGCCUCUUGGGUUCUCGAGCCUGAAGACAAGGCUGCUAUUUCUUACAAAGUUCACGAACCGAAUUCGGCUUGCAAUGUGCCGAAUAAUAACUGUGACACCUCACCUCGCCGAGAAGGCUAAUGAGAUGACCUCGACCAACAAGGAUCCGAAAACCCCUCUCGACCGAGACUUGGAUAGGUAACCGACCGUUCUCGCCGCAGUGCUGUUGAUGCCAACGGAAGAUACUGCGAGACCGACCGACUCUACGGUGACAGAGCUAUCUAUGCCGACUUAAGAUACCACCGGUUGCUUCCACAGUGCUGUUGAUGCCAACGGAAGAUGUGUCAGCGAAAAAGGAAAAGAAAAAGAUCUCAAGUUGUGAGAAUUUGCGCAGGGCAAUUUUGUAUUGAUUUUUGUGGGGGCCUCUUGAAUAAUGCACAGCCUCAUGUAUUUAUAAUACUAUUUACUGGCCAUGUUGAACUUUAUCCGUCGCGGCAUCCAAGCUAUCAAAAUAAUAUUCCUCAGAAUAUUUUCCUUCAACAACCCCACGGAUUGCUAUUCAAUUGUUAUCUUUUGCAUGCCCAAAAGAGACCAUAUCACUUGGAACUCUACUUCCCGUCAGACAGUAUCCUAAACAUCACCAACUCUUGCUUGGUCAAUCCUAAUCUUUCACCCAUCCACAUAUGCUUUAUCCACGCAUACAUGAUACUUAAAACAAAUGGUUAAUGGUUUUUGCUUUAUCUGCAAAAACUACCAUGAUCCUGUCACAUCACCUUGUUUUGGUUACUCCCCACAUCAUCUCAAUGUGCUGAUCAUCCCAUUACUUUGUGGAAUUGCUCCCCACGGUUCCGUAUACCAAAUAGAACUCCAAUGCUGCAUGGUAUUUUACAUAACCACAAUUAAUUCAAACUCUGUUGUUGUUGUUUUCAUUGGAGAUAAUGAAAAUCCCAUUUAUUCCUCCGUAUAAGAAAAGGAUAAAUAAUGAUUAUGAUAAAAAUCAUAAUAUUAUCCCUCUAUCUUCACUUUUCGAUCGACGGUGUAGAAACGUGCUUACUCAACGGCCUUGAUUACUCGGGCCGAUGGUGUAAAUUUGGGCUCAAACAUUGCCCCCCAAUUUCCUUGCACUUCGGCUCGUAAGCCGAAUGGUUAAGGAAAUUAGCGCAGUUGAAGAAAUAUAUAGUCGAAGAGAAUUGAGCAUCCACCGCCGCAUAAAAAAUCACUCGGCAGAAAGUUGUUCUAAAUACAACCUUGCCGAGGAAGAAAAGCAACCAUAUACCAGAUGAUUGGGUUCUAUGCCGAAUACCCAACAGACAGAGCAACAUGGAGAAUCAACAGCCUCGGCAUCAAUCUAUGACAGCACACAAUACACUAAAACACAUUUUCAUGCAAGCUAACUUUAUACAUACAUAUAUAUAUAUAUAUACAUAUAUAUAUAUAUAUAUAUAUACAUAUACAUAUAUAUAGUUGAGGUCAAAAGCACAUGCACGUGGUCUUAGUGUUCUUCUCAGUUGAGGCGCACAAAACCCAAAAAGAAAAACCAAAUCAACUAGGCAAUACCUUGACAAGCCGUCCUUGGCCAACUUCUUUUAUAUAUCUCGGCCAACUUUUUUUUAUUUUUUUUUUAUUCGGCUUUUAUUCGGCCUCGGUCUAGACGGUCGAAAUGCUCCUUUUUUCCAGUUUGUGCAUCAAAAAUUAUUCCUACUUUUUCUCUCUUCUGCACCGAGUAUCAAAUUUAACCGAGUAUCUGUGUAGCCCCCCUUAUUUUCUUAUGCAUCGGCUUAAUUAGCCAGAUGAUUAAGAAAAUAAUUUAUUCUCUUUUUUUUUUUUUUAAAAAAAAACAGAAGAAAACGAAAGUGGCCGAUCAAUAGUAAGGAGGAGGCCAACGAUGCUUUACUCCAAGCCGAGAUCUUUUAAUAUCAAAAUUCUCAAAUUGAUUUUGCUCUAGGCCGAAUAAAGAAUUUUCUCCAAAUAUUUUUGACUUGGUGAAAUAUUUUUCAUUCUCGGCCGCCGAAUGUGUUAAACAAUUAUUAUGCCCCCCAGGCAUAAUUUCGGCUUUUAAUUCAAACAACUUAGCCGAACAGGAUUUCUCCAUAUCGGCUUUAUUGCCAAUAAUCAUAUCAAUUGGCGUAGUUUCUUGGGCUAGGCCAAUAUCUUGGCCUUGUUCGUCAUUGGAGCAUUCCUCUGACGAAUCAUUUUCCAAGUCAAUUUUUGUAUCUAGCUCAAGAACUUGAAUUUUUUCUUCUAGGCCUACCACACUUUCAGUCUCGACCGAAAAAAUAGGUGGCUUUUGUUCUUCGGCCAAAUUAACAAUUUUCUUAGGCUGAUGUCUGAUUACGGCCGGAGCGAAAAAUUGCCCCCCGGCCUUUAGGCCUAACCAUUUUUCAAAUGGAAUAGAUUUGUAAUCAGAAACGUAAGGAAAAUUUUCUUCAUCUAGCCAGGCAUUAAAUCGAGCCCUGUCUUCAUUUAUCCAUUGCCCUUGUAGGAUAACAGGAGCUUUUAUUUUCAACAUGCAAGCGAAUGACUUUUGCAUCUCUUUAUGGCCACGAAGAACUUUUUAUGCUUCCAAAGAUUUUUUUUGUUCCUCAUUGUAUUUUUUCAAUUCCUCUAGGAGCUCGUGCAAUCGGCUAAAUGGAGCCAGAUUGACAUUUUGAUCUAUCAUGUGAACUUCGUAGUUUUAGCACUGGGUCCCACUGGGCGUGCCAAAAUGUUGACCCUAGAAAUUACAAAGCCUACGUGGCGCGCAGGCCGAGUAUAUUCUAAGCUAACUACGUCCUUCGGUGAUUGCGGGGCGUGCCAACUCGUCGGCCGAGGUUCGGCCGAGGAAUAAAUUUGAUGAUGCUGUGUUGAGUCGCGCUACUGACUUUUGCGUCUUGCGAUUGCGGCCGAGAAAGGAACACGUCUCGGCCUCUUGGGUUCUCGAGCCUGAAGACAAGGCUGCUAUUUCUUACAAAGUUCACGAACCGAAUUCGGCUUGCAAUGUGCCGAAUAAUAACUGUGACACCUCACCUCGCCGAGAAAGCUAAUGAGAUGACCUCGACCAACAAGGAUCCGAAAACCCCUCUCGACCGAGACUUGGAUAGGUAACCGACCGUUCUCGCCGCAGUGCUGUUGAUGCCAACGGAAGAUACUGCGAGACCGACCGACUCUACGGUGACAGAGCUAUCUAUGCCGACUUAAGAUACCACCGGUUGCUUCCACAGUGCUGUUGAUGCCAACGGAAGAUGUGUCAGCGAAAAAGGAAAAGAAAAAGAUCUCAAGUUGUGAGAAUUUGCGCAGGGCAAUUUUGUAUUGAUUUUUUGUGGGGCCUCUUGAAUAAUGCACAGCCUCAUGUAUUUAUAAUACUAUUUACUGGCCAUGUUGAACUUUAUCCGUCGCGGCAUCCAAGCUAUCAAAAUAAUAUUCCUCAGAAUAUUUUCCUUCAACAACCCCACGGAUUGCUAUUCAAUUGUUAUCUUUUGCAUGCCCAAAAGAGACCAUAUCACUUGGAACUCUACUUCCCGUCAGACAGUAUCCUAAACAUCACCAACUCUUGCUUGGUCAAAUCCUAAUCUUUCACCCAUCCACAUAUGCUUUAUCCACGCAUACAUGAUACUUAAAACAAAUGGUUAAUGGUUUUUGCUUUAUCUGCAAAAACCACCAUGAUCCUGUCACAUCACCUUGUUUUGGUUACUCCCCACAUCAUCUCAAUGUGCUGAUCAUCCCAUUACUUUGUGGAAUUGCUCCCCACGGUUCCGUAUACCAAAUAGAACUCCAAUGCUGCAUGGUAUUUUACAUAACCACAAUUAAUUCAAACUCUGUUGUUGUUGUUUUCAUUGGAGAUAAUGAAAAUCCCAUUUAUUCCUCCGUAUAAGAAAAGGAUAAAUAAUGAUUAUGAUAAAAAUCAUAAUAUUAUCCCUCUAUCUUCACUUUUCGAUCGACGGUGUAGAAACGUGCUUACUCAACGACCUUGAUUACUCGGGCCGAUGGUGUAAAUUUGGGCUCAAACAGUAUCUAAGAGAGAUGUGAGUGUUACACAUCCCUGAAUCCCCUUGGACUUUUUUCCACAACGUGGCAAGGAAAGGAGAAUCGGCAGUCUUCUUUUCUCUUUUACUGUAUAAGUAGGUUCAGAAUAGUCGAUACCAAUUAACCGUGCCCAAACCGAGUUUGUAAGAAACUUGUGCUUUUAAUGAAACAAUGGAAAUGUUGGGAUUGCAUUCGAAAAUCGAAGGGAUGAAUCGAUUCCUGUAUGAGCGCAAUUAGUGAUGAUGUUUCUCAACUUCGAUAUGAAAACCAACGUACAAAUUACAAAUUUCCUCCAAUGAUGGAUGCAAAUCAAUCUUAGUUGAUGAAUCGAUUUUAUACUAUAUAUUACUCCCUAUUCUUGGUAUAUUUUGGUUAUUAUUUUGGUGAGAUUUUGAUGCUUUGUUAUGUGUUUUUAAUGUAGGACAUGCGAACUUGUUAUGAGCAUAAAGUAAUCAAACAGUGGAUUUUUUGAGUGAUUCCAAUUGGAGCGGGUUUAUGAAUCUGUCAAGAAGGCUGUAUCAAAAUUUCAUAAUUUUAUCCCCAAGCAUUUGAUUGUGGCGAAUUAAUUUAUACCCAACGCGCAGUGUUGGCAUAUGGGGCUGCAGAGCUUAUUUGCGACUCCUGGGUUGGAAGAUGAUGGAUUUUGGACUUGGACUUGGACUUUUCUUGAAACUUGAAGAGGAGGUCCUUUAAUUCAAGUCGAUUUGGGCUUGUUUUGGAGCCCUAAAGGUCCAAAAACGUGGUUAUCUCUUUGCUGGGCAGAUUUCGUAGUUAGAAUAGGAAUGCAAUUCCUAGUUAUCCUUUUAUUAUUUUAUUUCCUAGUUUUUAGAAACCUUUUCUAUGAGGGUUUAAAUUGGGAGUAGUAUAAAUAAGGAUUUUUUAGCCAUUAGGGUUCUGGGGGGAGAAUGUAUGCAUUAUUUUGUAGAACUUCAAACUUUUUACCUACAAGGUGUUUUCAUUCUUUUUUCUAGUUAAUAUAUUUUAUUUAUUUUUUAUUAUGAUUGUUCGUAACUAGCUCUUUUGCUAGGGCGAAGCCACAAGCCUUAGCAUGAAUAUGUGAUUUUAUUAAUUUGCCUAUGAAUGGAUACAUGCUUGCUUUGAAUUAUUAACCACGACGAUUAAGCUAUCUAAUUGUUUUAGUGAUUCGUGAUCAUUAGGGUAUUAGACAAGCAAUUUGAUGCAAUUUCUGUUGGAACAUCACUCUGAAAUUGAGGAAGGCUUCUUGUGAUUAGUAAUUGUAAGUUCACUUAAGGUGAACAUCAUGCUCUUAGGGUUGCAUGGUUUUUUGAAGGGUUUUCACAAAGCUUAAUGAAUCUUACACGUUUAUAUUUGAUCGGGACAUCACAGACGGAUUGCAUGUUAGAUAUAUAUUUUCGCUUGAACAUCACAAGGAAAAUAUGUAUUAGGAAAACCUAACCUUCAAAGCAUGUAUGUAGAAAUUCAUAAGUAAUUGGUAAAAUUACAUAGGAUUGUUAAUGGUGACUGCAGAAUCCUAGUGUUUAAAUUGUUUUCCAAAACCUUUGUCUUUUGCUUUCUUUACUUUGUCAAGCACUUAAUUAUUUUUAUUUAAAUUCGUUUUUAUUAUUUUAAAUUCCAAAACCAACCAUUUCAAACCUUUGUUCUAAAUAAUUAGCUAAGAAUUAGUUUAAAUACAAAUUAUUCAUUCAAUCUAUGCGGCAAACAACCUUGUUUGAGCUAUUAUACUACGAUACCCUUGUACUCUUACAAAUAUUUUUAAGUGUUUUUAUUCCUACUUUUGUAGGUGAUAAAAAUCCUAUCAAGAAAUUGGUGCCGUUGCCGGGGAUCGUUUCAAAUAAUUUGUGUUUAUCAUAUUCUUAGUUAAUUAUUUUUGUAAAUAUCUUUUUACUUGUUGAUUUUAUUUUUAUUUUUAUAGGUUAUGUUUUGUUGGUUUUGAGAACAGUUAAACGAUGGGCUGGAAUCUACAACCAACAGGAGGGCUACCUUCAUGGAAUUAUAUCAAUAUGAGGAACUCUCAAAGGCCUAGGUGCGAUCCAUACUCAAAACUUUACAAUCUAAGAGCCCCUUGAACAGCCAACCGUGCCACAAAGAUCUACUCUAGAUGACAAACUUGCUGAAUUGGCAGAGUGUGUCAAGCAAUUUGUUGAUAGCAUGCCGAAUACCAAACCAUCAGCAAAGAUAAUUGAAGAGCAAGAUGGGCAGCUUUCGUAUCAAUUCAUAGAAAAUGAGAACGAUUCAUAUUCAAACUUUUACAAUCGGUGGACAGAGCAUCCUACUUCUAUGUGGGUAAGCAAUCAACAGGCUUUUCAGCAGCCCUGUGUGCCACAAAAACUUUCUUUGGAGGACCAGAUUGCUAAGUUGGAGGAGUCCACUAGGUUGUUCAUGGAGGGUACCCCUUAGUUGCAGAAAAUAAAUUCAAUCGACAAUCUGGCACAGCAAAUCGAGCAUCUCACGUAUCAAUUGGAAGAACAAGAAAACGAUUCCAAUUCAAAUUUCCCUAAUCAACCAAUCGCAAACCUACAGGGUUCAAAGGAGUGCUCUGCAGAUCAAACAUUGAGAUGGGGGGAAAACCAACGAUACUACAAUGGAAGAAUCUGAAAUUGAAGGCCCAACGGGAGAAACAGCGCCUACUGACCUUGAACCUGUUAUGACCCAAAGGCAGCAGCAGACCAUGACGGAUCAACAAAAUCAAGAUUCUAUGCGGACACAUGCAAAAGUGCACAUUAAUCUGCCGCUACAGGAUGCGACUGAAAAAUCUCCAAAGCAAUCACUAAAUUUCAAUUUAUUCGAGGCUCCAAGGCAACCCGCUAAGCAGCAGGAAUGCAUGAAUACUCAAACAGAUUUGGAUACAGGGCAGACGGGUGGUGAUGAGAAAUUUUUAAAUGCUGUACUGGAUAGUACACCAGCACAGCCGAUCAUAUUUAGAGAAAUUUGGGGAAAGUCCUACAAGCAAGCUAAGAUUUGCAUGGGAAAUAAGAAAAAGCUUAAUGGCAGCUGCAUUCUUCGUCAACAAAUUCUACUAGUGCAAAGGUUGUGGGUGUUAAAUACAAGGUUCAAGUCAUCCAAGUAUUGAACUUUGAGUGUGUGGAUUAAUCUGUUCACAUGUGUGCAAUAUGAUUUGGCCGAUGAUAAUAAGUUCACCAAGUGUUUCAAGAAAUGCCGUAGUGAAUAAACUAAAUUUUCUUUUUGAGUGGUUCCGGCUCUAUUCCUAUCUAGGAAACUUGGACCUUCUAGGACCUCCAAUGUUUAUUCUACAAAGUAUUGCUUGUGAGUGCUCUGGAUUGCAAAUUAUGAUUCCAGGCAAUAAAGUUUCAAGACGGUUUGGCUGUACCCAUAAAGAUCAAACGACAUUUGAACUUCCUCUAGAUAACGAAGGAUGAGAGAGAGGUAAAUCAUGUGUUGCUCAUUUUUUCAGCUUAGCUGACAAUUAAUUAAUUAAGUCCGUCGAAAAAAAAUACAAAACAAAGAUGUGGCCUUCGAAAGUGGGCAAAUGGGUCGGAAUUAUUAUUUCAUUCCCGGUGAAGAAAGGCCACAGUUGAUUACAAUAUCAAAAAAUAAUUGAAUACAGACAAACUAUAGUGAUCAGAUCAAAGGAAAAAGAAACUCCAUAGUGGAGAGAAAUUUACCUACAUCAUCAUCGGAGAUACUUUCCUUGGUAUGGCCACUAUUAGUAAUAUUUUUAUAUUUUUCAGUUGUCUGUGAUUAUUUUAAAAUAUUAUAACGGUGGAUUGUUACAUCAAAGGUAGUUGGUAGUAGUUUGCAACAAAACUUUAUCUCCUUUAAAUUAAAGAACCCCAAGUAACAAUUUUAUAUUUUUCAAUCGUCAAUGAAACUGCCUAGAAAAUUCAUCUCCUUCAACUUGACACCACAUUCAUAUUGAAAGGUAGUAGGUAGGAAACCGCUUGGUAGGUAGGAAGAAAAGCAUGAGGACUAAUAUAACAAGAGAGAGUCCACAUUCACAUUGAAGGUGGUAGGAAACUGCUGCUUCCUUCAAGGGAAGAAAAGCAUGCGUAAGGCCUGAUAUUAAUAUAUAUAACAAGAGAGAGUCCAAUGUCCACACUCCAUAGUCCAUACCAUACUGCAUAUUCCAAUUCUUUGAGAGGCCUCUUUUCUUUAGUUUAUUUGUCUUUAAUUCUCUUAUGGCCAUUCAACUUGCCUCUUCUUCUUCCUUGCCUCCUUCAUGGACAUAUGAUGUAUUUUUGAGUUUUAGAGGUGAGGAUACACGCUUUACUUUUACAGAUCAUUUAUACGAGGCCUUGCAUCGUAACAGAAUCGACACCUUCAUUGAUCGCCAUUUUAAAAGAGGAGAAGAAAUAUCACCGGCUUUUCUAAAGGCAAUUGAAGAGUCGAGAAUUUCAAUCAUUGUAAUCUCUGAAAAUUAUGCAUCGUCAAGAUGGUGCUUGGAUGAGCUCGUACAUAUCCUUGAAUGUAGAAGGUCAAGGCAGCAAAUAGUUUGGCCAGUUUUCUACAAGGUGGAUCCGUCCCAUGUACGAAAUCAAACGAGUAGGUUCGGUGACGCAUUUACAGGACUAGAGUGCAAAUACAAGGACGAGGAGAAGAUCCUCUUAUGGAGGAGUGCUCUUAAAGAAGUAGCAAAUUUGUCAGGACAUACUGUCAAAGAGGAAGAGUACGUACAUUUCUUCACUCCUUUUAGUUUGUUUAAUUAUAUGAUUCUGUAUUUCAGGUUUUAGUUUCUACUAAAAUAAUACCUAUUUAGUUGCUAGUUUUUAAAUCCCUAGCACUUAAAAACUGCAGCAAUUCCAUAAUUUUCCAGCUUUGUUGAAUGGCAAGUCUAUAAUUUACAUAUGAAGAAGAUAACUCUUAUCAAUGCUACUAUAUAAAGUUGGAAGCCCAUUUGCGGUCACGGGUUUCACCAUAAAUGAUGGGAUAAAAAUGCUCCUCAAAUAAAAAAGUUCAAAAAAGUCUAAAAUAAUACAUGAAAUAAUGUAGGAAUAUUUUGGUAAUAUAAACAGCAUUUUUUUUAUAAUUAAUUUUUUUGUACAGUUUUAUUUUAUAUUAUUUUUAUAAUUAAUACCAUAAUGUGUUAGUAAUAAUGUGAUUUAAUCAGUUGUUAAUUAAAUAUUAUUUUCUCUAUUUUUAAACAUGUUCAAAACAUCUUAAAAGAUAUGUAAUGCCGGUUAUAAAAAUGAUAUUUCUUGCGUGUAUUAUCUACAUUAAUGAAAAGGGGAUAGAUUUACUCCACACGCGCUACGCGCAUGAAGGCCAGUUUAUGUUAAACCUACAUGACCAUCUUCUUCAUAUAUAAUUAUCGACUUGUCAUUCACCAAAGCUAGCGAAUCAGGGAGUGACUCCUGUUGUUGCGGGCACUCCUCUUUCGUGUAAUACUCUGUCAUUGUUUUUGGGAACUGAUAAACUCACCCCGUUACUCUUAUCUUCCCACACAUUAUUAUUCCAUCCGCCAUACAAAAUUAAAAAAAAUUAAAAAAAAUUAACAUCUUAUUUUCCAACCCCUAUAAUCUACAUAGUCAUUGGUUUUGUUGGAGAGUUGUAGAGAGCAAGAGAUCUGCUUCAUCAAUUCAACUAAUUUAGUUCGAAGCAAAAGAAUUAAAUCGAAAAAGUGGAAGUAAGAAUAUCAGAAACAGUUAAAAAAAAAAUUCGAAUCUGCAAGUAAAGGGGAAGCAGUUUAAGAGGGAGAGCGUACCGGCGAGCUUCUCAGCAUCGAACCAAGAUUCUGAUUCCCCUGUCCUCUCUCUCUCUCUCUCUCUCUCUCUCUCUCUCUUAAAUUGCUCUCCUAAAGCCGAGAUUUGAUUCAAAUGACCUGGAAGCUAUCAAAUUAAAGAUGCAAAAUUGCAACAAAACGUCCAAAAUUUUAAAAUUUGUUGGAAAAAUCCACAAACUGAUGAACAUAUUUGGAAUUGGAGCCCUAGAAAUCACAGAAACGAACCAUGAGAAAUGCUAUCUGUCGGUGGAUUCUUGAACUUCUUCCGCCACCGGAAUAAUGGAUCUUUCUCCCACCGAUCAAAACUUGACUCCAUUAAUUAAUCUGCCCAAAUAAUGUACCUAUGGUGUUGUUUUAUAAUUUACCGAUUACUAAUGAUGUUAGGUAAAUUAGUACUUUUAGGAAAUAAAUGAUACAUAUCCAUACAAAACAUCUGCUUUCAUCGGAGAAAUUUUAUUUAAACUCAUAUAAUCUUUUUUUACAUCAAAUUUACUCUCUUCAUUCAUAUUGUUUUUUUAUUAAAAAAUUAAUCUCUCUUUAAACCCAAAUUUAUUACCUAAACUAUCCACUCAAACCCAAUUCAAAAUAUUAAAUUAUCUUUACACGUAUUUCCUUUAUAAAAUAACAUCUGUAAUUAAUUUUUUUUUAAGAAACGUCUUUGCCCCACCCCCCUCUCCUAGUAGCAUUUUCAUGGCUACUUUUUUUCUUUCUGCUACCAAAUCUAGACAUUUACCUUUUUUUCUUUAUACUGAUGUGCAUAAGCAACAAAUCAAACCAUUCAUCCUCUUAUAUUAUCAACAAGCAAUGAAGUUUAUAAUCUAAGAACAUUGGUAAGAAGUUUUUCCUUAUAAUUUUUCAAUUGCAGAAAGCUUAACAAACCAUUCGGAAUUGAUGAAAAAAAUUUAAAUCAAAUGAACAAAAUAUUCAUAAAUUAAGUCAUACCUUAGUUGGAGGAUUCAAAACUUCAAAAUCACCAUCCAUCAAUAAAAAAACUCGUUUUUCUCUAGAAGACCUAUUAGGGUUUUAGCCAGAAUGAAGGAUAAACAAGAAGUGAUGGUAGAGUUUAAUGGGUUUAUUGAUAAAUUUGAGUUUUAUUAUUAAUUUCAUUUUGUACUUAAUAGUAAUUAUGCAAUAUGUUAAAAUAGACAACAACAUAACAUUUAAAUGAAAAAAAAAGUCUAUGUCUUAUUGUUAUUUUUUUUAAACAAAAGGGAAAAAAAAAAGGAAAAAGUCAAUGUCUUAAGUAUGGAUAUGGAAAGAUGUUAGGAUUUUACACAGUAAUAAACAGUGUGAAAUUGUGAAUAAUGGCAUAGGGGUAAAUAAUUUUUAUUAAUGUGUCAAUUAUUAUCUUACAUGAUUCUGUGUUUAGCUGCAAGCGGCACAUACUUGACUGCAGCAGUGAUUAUCCAUUCCUCUGUUUUUUGGACCUGGAUUGUCUGCCCUCAUCAUUCCAUGCCUUCCUAUUUAUGUGGUCACGGUUAAGCCACGUCAACAUUUUAUAUUGAUUUUGCUUUUUGUCUUAUUAUUUUUAUAAAAAAAAUUAAUAUAAAAUGUUAACGUGGCUUAACCGUGACCACAUAACAUAAGAGGGCAUGGGGAGGGCAUGGAAUGGGAAGGGCAGACAAUCCAAGUCCCUGUUUUUUUCAAUCUUUUUUUUCUUUUCAUUCUCUUCUUCUUUUUACAUUUUUUUUUCCUUUUUUAAAGAAAUAUAGCAGAAAAAGUUGAUUGGCUAAAUGUGUCAAUUUUUUAUAUAAACUGGUAGGUAUGAAGCUACAUUUAUCAGUAAGAUCGUAAAGGAGAUCUUGGUCCGCAUGCAACAACGCAUGCAUUUGAACGUAGCCAAAUACCCAGUUGGAAUUAAGUCCUGUGUAGAAAAGGUGAAAGAGCUUUUAGGUCUCGGUGGAAAUGAUCCGUGUGUGGUUGGGAUUUGGGGGGCAUCUGGAAUCGGCAAGACAACAGUUGCAAAAGCUGUUUAUAAUGCAAUUGCUUAUAAGUUUGAAGGUAGUUGUUUCCUGGCAGAUGUUCGAGAAACGUCAAUGCAAUACGGAGGCCUAUUCCAACUACAAAACACUCUUCUAUGGGAGAUUGGUGGUUCAGAGUGGAAAGUUGUCAAUCCUCAUAGAGGAAACAUCCUUAUAGAGAAACUGUUGAGGCGAAAGAAAUCUCUCUUAAUUCUUGAUGAUGUGGAUGAUUUGGAGCAGUUAAGCAACUUGGUUCAAGUUAAAUGGCUCGGUGAGGGUAGCAGAGUGAUCAUAACCACAAAAAAUAAAGGAUUGCUGGAAUCUUGUAAAGUUGAGCUGAUAUACAAGGUCCAAAAGUUAGAAGACAACAAAGCUCUUGAGCUUUUUAGUUGGAAUGCCUUCGGAAAAGAAAAACCUCCAGAUGAUUAUUUGGGACUCGCACGGCGUGCAAUAGGCUAUGCUCAAGGCCUCCCGUUAGCUCUUAAUCUUAUAGGUUCUCAUCUGCGUGGUAAAAAUAUAGAUCGUUGGCAAGAUAUUUUAGAUAGUUACGAUGAAGAACCUUAUAGAGGGAUUCAAAGAGUACUUCGGAAAAGUUAUGAUACCUUGGAUUAUGUCCCGCAACAAGUUUUCCUAGACAUUGCAUGCUUCUUCAAGGGUGAAGAUAAAGACAAAGUUUUACAGAUAUUAAAAGGAUCAAACCUCAAAGUACGUCAACAUUGUAUUGAUGUUCUCGUUGAGAAUGCCAUUAUUACUAUUGAAUAUAAUAGGAUUUUGAUGCAUGACUUGCUAGAAAAAAUGGGUAAGCAUAUAGUUUGGGAAGAAUCGCCCACUGAACCAGGCGAGCGGAGCAGAUUAUGGCAUCAUGAAGAUGUGUACCAUGUUCUAACUAAAAAUAGAGUAAGUAGAAUAUAUGUUCUUGCAUUUGAUUUAAUUGGCAUGAUUUUGGAAAGAAAAAAAAAUUAAAUCCUUUUGAUUUCUUUGUUAUACAAUUUGUUUGUUAACGCUAUUUAUUUUUCCAUCUUAGGGAACAAAGAAAAUUAAGGGCAUUGUGGUGAAGUUGCCCAAGCUAGAUGUGAUACCCUUGAAUGCAAAAAGCUUUUUCAAGAUGGUAAAUCUUGAAAUUUUUAUAAUCCAUAAUGCAUAUUUUUCUGGAUGCGUUGAGUAUCUACCCGAAAAUUUGAGGUGGAUUAAAUUCGGUGAAGAUGGGCUUCAAGACUGGGGAUCCAAACUUAAAUUCAAUUUGCAAUCCAAUUGUCAUCUAAGGCAUCUUGUCACGUUUAUUAUGCCAAACAGUGACAUCAGACAAUUGAAGGUAUUUCAGGUAUGUAUACGUAUUAUAAAUUAAUUUGGACAAUUACUAAUUUAAUUGUAUACUUUAUUUUUGGAAAAAGAAAUUUGCCAAAGCUUUUCAUCAUUAAUUAUUUUAUUUAAAGUUUGUGAUUUUUUUUUUAUUUUGAUUUCUCAGAAUUUGGCAAAGCUUACAUCUUUGAAUUUAAGUGGUUCCGAAUUCUUAGAAAAAAUUCCCAACUUAUCCGGAAGUCCAAACCUAAGGGAGUUGAUACUAAAUAAGUGUAAACGUUUAGUUGAAGUUGAUGAUUCUGUUGGAUUCCUUGAUAAACUUGUUACAUUACGUCUUGUUGGGUGCUCUAGGCUUAAGAGAUUUGUGACGAGACUUAGAUUGAGAUCCCUUCAAAGGCUUAAUCUUGGUGGUUGCACAAGGCUCAAGAGUUUCCCAGAAAUAGAGGUCAAGAUGGAAUCUCUAGAGUAUUUGGCUAUAGAAGAAAGUGGCAUAAGAGAAUUGCCUUCAUCAAUUGCAUAUCUUACUGGGCUUCAAAGAUUGCAUGCAAAUUAUUGUGAGAACCUUACAGGUACAUCAUUACAUCACAUUUAUGGGUUGCAACAUCUUUACUAUAUUGAAAUGAAUGGAUGCCCAAAACUGGUGACAUUUGGGAAGUUUUCAACUCGCUUAGAUACUUCACAUUACAACGGUAUGCCAUUAGCCAUUUUCAACGUAAGCCGGCUUUAUCUUAUUGGAUGCAAUUUAUCAGAAAGUGAUUUCCUUGUGCCUCUUCAAUAUGAACCAUCCAAUCUUCAUUGCUGGUCCACAUUAGAAGAUCUUGAUCUGUCGGCAAACAAUUUUGUUAGUCUUCCGGAUUGCAUUAGCAAAUUUGUCAACUUGAAUGAGCUUAGAUUGCAAGGUUGCAAGAGGCUUCGGGAAAUUCCACAUGCCCUUCCACCAAAUCUAAGUGAUUUAUAUCUGGAUGAUUGCACAUCAUUGGAAAAAAUUCCAAAGUUGCCCUUGGGGCUUAGGCGUCUGCAGUUGACUAAUUGCUUUGGACUAAGUGGCGAUGAGGUGGCAAAGUUGGAAAAUAAUUUGUUGAACUUGAAUCAGGUUCGUCUCUCCUCUUUUAAUUUCUCUUGAAAUUAAAAUAUAUAAUUUGUCGAUACUUGGGAGGGAGAACAGAUGACGAUUGUUUGUAAUUAGUUAUUUACAUAUUAUUCACUAUUGCAGGAAUCUCUUCUGUACUCUCAAUUGCAAGUUAUGUAUCCAGGCAAUGAAAUUCCAAAGCGGUUCAGCUAUGCGUCUAAAUAUCUAACAGCCACUAGGAUUGAAAGUAUACGAAAUGAAGAUGAAGAAGAUGAUGAAGAAGAUGAUGAUGAAGAUGAAGAAGAAGAUGAUGAUGAAGAUGAUGAAGAAGAUGAUGAAUAUGUUGGAGGUAGUGAAUUUAGUAUUGAAAUUCGUCUAAAUUUACAGGAGAGGGAGACGUUAUUAGGAUUGGCUCUAUCUUGUGUUUUUCCACCACGGGUAUCAGAAUUUGGAUGUUUUUACCAUUUUCGUAUUUACAUCAACGAAGCAAGUGAUUUUGAAUUAUUUCAUUGGAUGGGGAAGAGCAUGGAGACAGCUCAUAUGGGGCUCAUGUUAGUGGAUUUAGAGAAGCAGGGAGAUAUUUGUAAAGUUAAACUUCAAUUCCCCGUAUGGGCACGCAUUAAAAUGUGCGGGGUGCACCCCUUAUUCCGCAAAGAAGAUGAUCGGCAACAACAAUGGCCUUCCUUAUCGUCGAACCCAGCGAUGAUCAACCGAAACGCACGCAGAUUGAUCACAAUGUUCCUUCUGAUAUUAAGGUACGGAAAAGCCCUUGAGCUUUUCAGUUUUAGCAAUUUUUUUAUUGUUCUUUAUUGUGAUAUCAUUUUUUAAAUUAAUAUAAUAGAAAUUAAUUAAUUUAAAUUAAAUAAAGGAAAAAAUUUGAACAGUUUUCAAUCUGCAUAAUCAAAGAUUUCAUAUCUGUAGGUGGUUAGUUAUUAGAAAAACAGAAACCACAUUUGUAUCUUGAAGUACAUUUCACUAAUCAAAUCAAAUUCUAAUUAAUCAAAACAAACAAUUAUGGAAGGGAAACAUACAAGGAGAAAUGAGAUUAUAAGUACAAAAUUCAAGAUUAAUUACCUAAAAACUUGGUUUUGUUCAUAUAAGUACAAAAUUUCUACACGAAGAUCAAAGAACUACAUCGUAUGUAAACCACAUGCUUCUCUUUGUUAAUCAAGUUUACACGCAGAGAUGAAAGACUUGUAGGACUACUGUUUAAUCAAGAAUCGGGGUUUGCAACUAUUUUUUUAUUAGCAUUUACUUCUGCUUUUUCAAUUAAUGGAUACGUGGAAAAUUUGAUUUGGUGUGGAUUUAGAAAAGAAGCAGGGAGAUAUUUGUAAUGUUGAAUUUCUUUUCCUCAAGGGCGCAUGCAUUAAAAGUUGCGGGGUGCACCCACUAUUGCGCAAAGAAGACGAAUGGCUUCCCUUGUCUUUGGGACCAACAAGUAGUCUUGGAAAGACGCCUCGUCCACUUGGAUCCUCAGAUACCGUCCACGAGGAAUAUGAUCGGCAACGACAAUGGCUUUCCUUAUCUUCGAACCCGGCGGAUGAUCAUCCGAAACGCAGGCAGAUUGAUCUUAAUGGUCCUUUUGAUAUUGAGGAGGAGGAGCAAGAGCAACCAUCCACUUCAGAUGAUUCACAAUUUUUUCUUCAUUAGGAGUUUGGGUACGUACAUUUCAGUUUUAGUAUAACUAAAUAAUUUUUUUAAUUUUUUUUUGUAUUGUGAAUUUGUGAUACCUUUAUAGAUUAAUAUAAUAAAAUUAAUUAAUUUAAAUUAAAUACAUAAAAAAAAGAAAAUUACAUUUUACCUCCUCAACUUUGGGUCACAUAACAAUCUCAUAUUUUAUCUUUUAAAUAUUGCUAUAUUAUACAUCAAUUUACAAAUUUGCUGCAAUAUCAUGCCUCCAUCAACUUUUCUGUUAAUUUUUAUGUUAAAUGCUGAUGUGGUAGACACGGAUCCGCUCACUUACUUAACUAGGUUAUAAAAUUAAUUUAAUAUUAAAAAUUAAAGAAUUUUUAGUUCUAAAUUAAAUUAAAAUUAACAAAUAAAUUGAUGGAUAUUUUAACGGAGGUUUAAGAUUGCAACAAAUUCGUAAGUUAACUAAGACAUUGUAAUGUUUAAAAGAUGAGGUAUAACUUUGUUAUAAGACCCAAAGUUAAGGUGGCCCAUGUAAUUUACCCAAGAAUUUAAACAAUUUUCAAUUUGCAAAAACAAAGAUUCCAUAUCUGUAGGUGGCUACUGGCUAAUUCUUAGAAAAACAGAAACCACAUUUGUAUCCUAAAGUACUUUUGACUGUGAGUGAGUAAGCCACACUUCAAUAAUAAAACCAAAUUCUAAUUAAUCAAAACAAACAACAAUGGAAGGAAAACAUACAAGGAGAAAUGAGAUUAUGAGUACAAAUUUCAAGAUUAAUUAUCUUAAAACUUGGUUUUGUUCAGAUAUAUAAACCUACAAAGAGAAAUGGAGAUUAUAAGUAUAAAAUUUCUGCAGGAAGAUCAAAGAACUACACCGUUUGGAUGAACAUGUAGAGCACGUACUCCUCCCUCUGUUAAUCAAGUUUACACGCAGAGAUGGAAAACUUGUUGGAGUACUGUUUAUAUAAGAGUACUUUUUAUGAGCAUUUCCAAUUAACGAAUAGGUGAAAUUUUUUGAUUUGGUGUUGAUUAAUAAGAUUUAGUAUGAUUUUAAUAUCAAGAUGAGACAACAAUAUGUAGAAAACAUGGCCAUAAUUUCACAGGUCUCUGUCCCUAUAUAUUGAUUCCUUGCAGAUUCUGGGAUGGAGUUUGGGUCAAAAUUGCAGCCAACUGUGUCUUGACACAUUUUUGGUUUUGGACAAAUACUCUGUCUCCUGCCUUUUGCCAUUUAUGGCUCCUUUGUUUUCUCUGUUGCUGCUGGGACAGAGUCCAUUAGAUUUGCCCGUUUAUUUUCUUUGCUCCCACAAACGGGGUGCAGGAGGCUAAAAAAUGAGCUUUGAAAUUUAUAGGGCCCGUUUAUUUCAUUCCAUUGACAUUUUCAAGCUAACUUUUUGGCUUCUAUGAUCCACAGGUGAGUUGGCUUCGCACAGGCAAGGAAACAUCAUUGGAAGAGUUCAUCCUUAGUCCCCCCAAUGUGCUUACUGAAAAUCAGGGAAAUCAAAUACGGCUAUAUGGUCCCGAAAAGGGCUUAUCAUACAUCGCCAAACCUGCAACUGGACAGAGUUUUAUAUCUCACCACGGGAGCACGUUGAACCUAAGCAUGCCUCUCGUGGAUCCUCUGGUCACUCUCUUUGGCAGUGUCCACGAGAAGAUGUCCGAAAGGGGAAGCAAAGGCAGCAUGCUUUAUCCAAAUCUUGGAAGCAUUUUGAAUGCAGGGGAGUAUCAUAAUAAAAACGCACAUUGGGACAUAGAGAGCCAGACAGAUGGUGAGGAUCACGAAUCUGAAGCAUCCGGGGCUUAUUGUGAUGAAAGCUUGAGAAGUCCACUAAUCUCGUGCCAAACAACAGGCAUGGGAACGCCUAGGUCUUGCGGCAGUGCUUUAGGUGUGAGAUGCAAUACAAUCUUGAUGAAAGGAAAUGUACAAGCUAGCGAGGCUAUCAGUAGUAGUAUGGACACUGGUGGAGGUUGGCAGCUGGCUUAUAUAUAAGUAUUCUGACCGAGUAGGCGAAGACGGGAAGAAGGAAGGAGGAGUUCAAAAAGUGUAUUUGCAUCAGGAUAGUGCACUUUGGUGUCGGCCUGCGUCGGUUGUUUCAAUUUCUGGUGCAUUCAUGGUGGUCUGGUUAGUCAGCCUGAUGUUUCAGAAACUUUCUUGUUUGUCAACCUUCUAUGUUGUCGGGUGCAUCGAUUCUUGGAUAUUUGUUUACUUGAAGGUGCCUGAAACUAAGGGCAUGCCUCUUGAAGUCAUCUCUGAGUUCUUUGCUGCAGGUGUAAACCCAGCUGCUGCUGAUGCAUCUGCGGAUUCCAAUGAAAAGUGAUUUGAUUGUUUAGAGGGUUUGAAAUUUGGUUUGAUUUUAGACUGGGAUUGUGAGGAUAGGGCUUGAAUUGGAGAAGUGCUUAUGACUAGAUUGCUUUUUUUUAAAGUGAUUUUCUAAUCAUCAAUGUCCCUUCCUUAAUGCUGCAGAAGUAUAUUUGAUAUGGAAAACUAAUGAAAAUGGCUUGAAAACCCUAUUUGAUACCAUGUUUUCUAAUCAUAGAUUCUUAAUCUAAUCCUAAAUAUUGAUUGAAGUUUAAAACAGUCUAAUUAACCACCCUUGUAGUUCCAAAUUGAAGUUUAAAACAGUCUGCACUUAUAUUUUCCUAUCUAUUUAAUUUUAGGCAGACAUAUAUUGUUGUAGACACUCUUUCUUAUUAUUGUGAUCAUAUACCAAAUAACUCAAUAUAGAUCACAAUAAUUCUUACUGAAGUAUGGUUUAAAUUUUUGUUAGAUAUGAAACUGAUCAAAAUCAAAUUGCUCAUGCGUUACAUUGUAUUUAAAAAAAACGUGUGUCUAACACUAAUUUGAUUUGCAUACUGUCUUAUAAGAUCUUAUUUAACUCGUGACAAAUAAUAGUAUAUGACUUGCUAAUUUAUUUACAAAGGAGAAAUUCACUAACUUUACGUAUCCUAAACGGCCAAUAUAUGCACCUGAGUUUGAAUUUUCAUUCCCAUAAUAUAGAUUUUUUUUUUAAGUUUGUAUGAAAAGAAUUUUACAAUGUCUUGAAAAAAUAUGAAGGAAGAAAAAAAGAAACUGUUUUUAACUGCUGCCUAAGCUGAGCCCAGUUGCCGUGUAGCACUAGCAAGUAGCAACAGGAAAGUCUGCUGAGAAAAGUCAGUCAUCGUCUUCACUAAAUUGAGUUAGAAGAAUUAGGGGUUUAGAUUUGCAAAGAUCCAAAUUUUAUCAGUCUCUCCGAAAGUAAUCAGAGAAAUGGAAAGUCAACCAAAGAACGGAGACUCGCUGGAGAAGCGGCCCGGCAUCUUCUUCCUCGGCUCCCCCGGCGUCGGCAAACGCUCUCUCAUUACGCGUAAGCUCUCUCUCCUUUGACCGAUACUAAGCAUGAUCUGUUGAUUUGUUGGAUUACUGGGUUUGGAUUUAUACAAUGCUUCUGAUUCUUCAUCGUCAUCUCAACUGGUAGUCAAUGGGUAUGUAAAUUUUUAAUUUUGGGAUCAAAGAAUUCAAUUUUAGGAAUUUUGGGUACAAAGAAUACAACUUUUAGGAAUUUUGGCAACAAAGAAUUCGUUUUUAAUUCUUUUGAAAUGUGAAUUUUGAUGAUUUUUUUUGUGUUAAAAAAAUAGAUGGAAUAUCUCUACAAAGUACUACACAGCUGACGUUUCGGUAUGGAUGGCUCGUCUCCAUGACGAAUUUUCGAUUGAGUCCCUCCCAAUGUUUGACCAGUUGGCUGCCUUGAUCUGGUUUUCGACACAACUGAGGUUUCCGUCUCUUGCCACUCACUCUUUGUCAUUUUGUUUACUUAUUUAGCAUGAUUUUCGAUGUGUCUUGUAUCAAUUUGUUCGCGUUAUGCUGCAGUUGUCGUCUCUGUCUGCGCUUCAGAAAUAGGUAUCUUGAACUGAUCUUCAAAAGUUCGAUAUACUAGUGUGCAUAGGGAAUAAGGUUGAUCUUGUUCCAGGUCACCCGGUUCAUACCGAAUAUAGAAGACGACUGCAGAAGUUUGGAGACCAGUUUGAUGAUGACGACGAUCUAGGGUUCACUGUGUAUGGAAUCACCGAGACUGAAGGAAGCAGUUUAUUGGGGGAUGACGAGUCAUAGGCCAGAGACACAUGUUUGGAAUGGUGCACUGAGCAUAACUUUGAGUUCGUCGAAGCUUAUGCUGAUUUUAACAAAUGUAAGGCAGCACUUCUUUCUGACUCGUAUUUUAUGGCAAGUUUUAUACGAAAGUGAAAGUUUGAAGCCGGAUGAGAUGUCAAAUUGUUACUAGGCAGCAGUUUAGGUGUGGUUACAUAAAAACACAUGGUGUACCAUACAACUAAAAAUUUCUCCCACAUAAGCAGCACACAGGAUAAACUCAAUUGAACAAGUUGUUGCUCAGGCUCUUUUGUUCAUGAAGAAAUUUUUCAUUAUUGUGCCUAGAAUCAAGUUUUUAAUUUUUUUUUCACACAAAUAUCUCAUCACUUGUUUAGUGACACAUGAUGUAUCACCAUGUGUUAUGGGUAUACUGAAAAAUCUCUCGGCUCUAUCUCUGUCAUCUUAUAAUUUAAUUUCGAUUUUCGUGCCAACAUUACAAAACAUUAUUUCAAAAGUAUGAAGUGAAAGAUAUUCUAUGGAGACUAGGAAUAUAAGUUGCUUAUUAAGGUUUUUAUUUGACCAAUGUGAUAUUUUGGUUAGGUAAGUAAUUGAAGGUGAACGUUCUUAGUUAUCUGAAAACAUUUUUCUGAUGGUUUUAGAAGCAGCCCAAGUGACCGGUUCGAUAUUUAGGUAAGGAGGUAAAUGAUUAUGUACAAGCGUCGAUAACAUAUUCAAAAUCUAAAGCACUUAUAAACUAUCAUGAAGUAAACGUUCUUGAUUAUCUAAAGCACUUGCAAAAUUAUUAAGAAAAGGAUAUUCUUAGUUAUCUGAAAACACUUUUUUCUCAAUAAUUUUUAGAGGCAAUUUCGCAGUGUUGAGAUGUUAGCUUCGAAGGCACUCCAACUUGCAAAGAGUGCUCCACAAAGUUCAACAAAAGUAGAAACAAAAUCAAUUAAAAAUCCCAACUCACAAGUGAGAGCAAUGGUUAUGCUUCAAGGUCCAACCAUCUGACCUCUCUAAGUUAGGCUUCAAUUUUACUUCAUUUCCCACUCCAAAUUUCCAAGCAUCUGUACCCCAUUGACCCUUUGCCCGCUUUAAGCAAUCUAGAAAAAUCAUUUACAUAAGAGAAAUACUAAGUGAAUUCUUUCAAAACGAACUUUUCAUAACUCUUCGUCACAAAAAAUAAUUCAAUUUUAUUGUCUCCUUUGCAUGCAAGAAUUCAAUUUAUACCUAGCUGAUGUACAUCAUUGUAUAAAAUUCCAAAACUACCAGUGCUUUGGAUUCUGGACCUGACUAAUCACUGUAGACUAAGUAGUGAUGAGAUGGCAAAGUUGGAAAUAACUCGUUGAAUUAGGUUCAUCUCUUCUUCUUAAUUUCUGAUGAAAUGAAAAUUAAUCUUGUUGAUAACUGUAAUUAUUUAACUAUAUAUAUACAUUACUGCAAGAACUUCUUCUGCGUUCUGAAUUGAAAAUUGUUCUUCGAAGCAAUGAAAUUUCGAAGUGGUUCAGAUAUACAUAAAAAAAUUAAAUUUUUUUUCAUUGUGACGGGAAUACAGGUUACCACCACGGAUGUUUAUGUAAAUGGUGGGAAAUUUUAUUUUUUAAGUUAUUAACCUUUUAACAUACAUAUCCCAACAUUUGUAUAAUGACAUAUGGUAUACUAUUUCGUGUGCCGGUCACAUUAAAAAAUCACUCUGGUUAAGAAAAAAAUGCAUUAUUAGUCUAAAAGACCACCGAAUGUCGGUGGGACCAAGUUUGAUUGCACUGCUCCCUCUUUUUUAUUCUUGAAUUAAAAAAAAUCAAAAAGGAGAAUUAAUAGGUAAAAGUAAAAAAAUAAAAAAAGUACAAAAGAAGGAAUCGGGUGUGAAGAAAAUCACUCUACAAUACGUAAUACUUUUGUUACAUUUUUGAAAGUCAAUUGCAUGUUGAUGUGCUUUUAACUUUUGAGUACAGAAUACUUAAUAUUUGUCAAUCAAUCAUCGGUAUAUAUCAUGUUGGAAGAGGAUUCCCAUUGGAUUCUUUUUGUGGAGAUUUAGGUGAUUUUCUAAUUCUGCGUAUUUAUCGUUAUUGUGUAGUAAAAAAUCAUAUUAAAUAUUUAUAUUUAAAAUUAAAAUUAAAUAUUAUUUGACGAAAAUUGAUCGAACGAUGAACAAUAAACGCACCAAAUUAAAGGAUCUCCCUAAAUUCCCAAAAAAAAAAAUCUGAAGAUGAUCCUCUUCCUAUCAUGUUGAUAUCGUGGAGCACAAGGUAAUAGUUAGCAAACGAAAUUGAUAGGAUAGGGGUAAUGUGAUUAAUACAAGUGCAAAGACGACAACGAGGGAUAAAGUGAUACUUUCGUGCUAGUUCCGAGGACAUUUUGGUAAUUAAGCCUUUAUAUUUACUAAUCUUGAUUUGAUUUAUAAUUAGUACUCAUUUUUGGCGUCGUAUCAUUCUGACAUGGAUUCCUUCCGGAUCCAUUAUGUGGGGAACUAGGGAUAUUUACAUCUCAGUCGUUUAUUGUGUAUCGCAUGAUCAUAAAUCAGUUGAUUUUUAUUUAUUUAAAAUUAAACACAAAUUGUACAUGAUGAAAACUGAUCGCAUAAUAUACGAUGAACGCUGAGAUGUGUUGAAUCUUUAUCGAUCCCUUUUUUUUUAACGUUUAACAAUUGAACUCAUUAAUAUUAAAAUAGAUAAAAAUAGAGUACGAACAAAAAAAAAUCUUAAAUGCUUUUGUUGCAGUCUUUCAAGUUAAUUGCGUAUUUUCAUGCAUUUUAACCUUUGUAUGUACAUAAUUGAUUUGUCAUACGGUCAUAGUAGCUUCAUAUGACAUCGUUUAUGUGUCAUGCGGGUGAAAAGAACGUGUGCUUCAAUAACAAACGAAAAUAAUAAAUAAAUAAUAAAACUAAUGAAAAUGGUUUGAAAAUUUGAGUUUUAAUGAUAAAGACAAAACAAAGGAUAAAGUAAAUAGUAUCAGGAUUGACUUUUUAGUAUAAAAAUAUGGUUUUUCGUUAAAGUGAACAGUACCGAAAAGUUUUUUUGUUAAAAUUCCCUAAAAAAAAAAAUCAAUCUUUAUGAAUAGAAGUUGCAACCAAAGCUCCUCUCCAUCAAUUCUGGAAGGUAGCACGUAGGAAACUGCUUUGUGGCUGUGGGUAGGCAGAAAAGCAUGAGGCUUGACAAGAGAAAGUCCCCAAGUUUAUUUGGCUUUUAGUAUAAAUUAUUUUCUCAUUUGUCGAAGAAAAAAUCACCUUAAAUGACUCACCUUUCUUCAGGUAUGCGACAUUAUUUAUAUGGUUCAAAAUGACACAAACCGGAUAUAAAUAAUGUGGGGGUGUGGUUAAGGAAAAAAUGCAUUAUUACUUUGGUAACUCAAAAACCAUCUAUUGUUGGUGAAACCAGAAUUUUCCUAACAUUUGCUCACUGACGUUAUCGUUUUGUUGAAAAAUAUAAAUAAAUUCUGCACCUGCAUCCUGUUUUCAAUGCACUGCAUAUUCCUCUGCUUCUCUUGUUUUUUUUUUUUUUUUUUUUUUUUUUUGUUGUUCUCGUUACGAAAAUGAAAAUUAUCCAAAAUGAAUGGUAUUAGCUAUUCCCAUCCUAAAUGGAAGCGUGAAGGGAUUGUAAGAACUUUAACACAGAUCGAUGAUAUGCCAAUUGAAUUACCAAUGUUCUGAAACAAGUCAAGUGACAAAACUUAUGAACAAGAACAAGGAUUGCCGAGAACAUACCUGCAGAAUUUGAACUUGAAGAAACCAUAACAGCCUCUGUGUUCAAAACCUUCUCCUCUUUUACGAUCACAAUAGCUUUUCUAAUCAAUAGGACUUAGAACAACAUAAGCUAAUAUCGCAAGAGCAGUGGUUUGAACCAUAAAUAUAUAGUGCUCCUUCGUCCAUUCCCUAUCAGAAUUGGACUAGGAUUCAAAGACAUACAAACCAUAAAGAUUCAUGAGACUUUAUAAAGUUCCAACACAAAGUUCUUUUCCAAAACCAAUUGGAACUUCUCUCAAGACUGCAUUCCUUAUCAGAUUUAGACUUCUUUAUAAUAUCAAUUAUCCCAAGACUUAUAAGAAUCAUACUCAUACUCUUACAUUCUCCCACUUGAGUAUGAUUCAUCACAACAGAUAAUCAUCUCAAAUUAUAAAGGUGAUCAGAUAAGUCAUUCACCAUCACACUAGUACAUAGACACAACCUGCUUACAUAAACCAAAACAAUGAAUUUAUAAUUGCCUAUGCAACACAAAAUACAGAUUUAACUUACAAAUCACAAUGUCCAGUUUAUGUUCAUAGCAAUGUAUCUAAGCUCAAAUUUAUAUAAAAAUUACCAAAUGUUUUGGAUAAAAGCUUAUCCUCACAUACAACUUACCUAUGCAUUUUACCAAACCAAUUUGCUCCCACUUAUCUAGGCCAUACUUAACACAAACAAGUUAAGUAUAAGUUAAUAUCAACUGUAUUAACUAACAGUCAUUGCAAUACACUGAAUGUCUUAUUAAUGUGAUCAAUUGCCGCAACCAAUACGCAAACAAAUUCCAUGAUCACAUUCAUCCAAUUCGUAUUUACAACAAUGUGAUUUUACUUGACCAGAGCAAACACAUAAAUUGAUUUGCUCCCACUAUAUCAAGUUAAGUUUAGUUCCAGCAAAUAGCACUAAACUUCUCAUUACUUAAACAAAUUAAGUAACAUAAAUAAUUACCAAUUGCUUCAAUAAAACCAUAAUCUGGUUUUCAAGCAUCCAUAUGAAUUAUAAUGGCUGGCUUAAAUACUCUUAGCCUUAUGCUUAUAUUCGAACAUACGAUUCUCCCACUUAAGCAUAAGGAGAAUAUACUGCACAGUCAAUAAAGAAAUCGGAGAUAUGAACCAAUUGGUUCCCGAUUCCUUACCUAUUGCAUAAUCUCAGUUUAGUUAUAUACACCUAAACCAUUAUACAAAACAGUCUAUGUAUCAAAAGAUAGUCACAAUCCAUUCGGAAAAACUUAUCUCACAUAAACUCAAAAUCACUAGUUUCAACAAUGAUCAAAAUCAGAAUAGCAAGCACAAUAUUUUUGCAUUCAAUUUGAUCUUAACUAGUUCAAUAUCCAUCGAGCAAGAUCAACCAAAAUUUGAUAAUGUUUGGAUAUAUAUGACAACAAUAUAUCUUGAUUAAAACGAGAUAAUCAAGACUACUAUUUCUUCUGGAGAACUCGAAGUUCAUCUUUCUCCUUAUUUGUGAUUUCAACCAAAAUAUAAUAGCGGAAGCAUGCAUCAUGAAAUCACAAAUAUACAUAUACAAUAAGCAUGCAUCGAUAUAUAUACAUGAUAAGAUUAGUCGACAAUAAUCCAGAUUAAAAAUCUUCAUGCCUUUAAUUCAUUGUCAACACCAUCAUCAAUUAUAUACAGAUUCGUAAGCAAGUCCUUGGAGAAAUAAUGAUAACUGCAUAUCAUUAGUCUUAUGAAUUUCCAAUAAGAUGACAAAUAAUUAUUUGUUUUCCGAUUCAUAAUAGAAUAUAUAUUUUGUAAAUGGCUAAAAGUUUAUUGUCACAAGACUCAUUAUAGGCGGUCAAUAAAACAUCUACCUUAUAUAUUCAUUUGUUCAUAUAUUUUCUUGUAUGCUUGCAUCAAUAUUCAGAGAAACUUAUGCAAGUUCUAUUUGAUAUAGAUAAAGCCGCAUGCCCAUAAUUACAACAUCUAUGCAUGAAUGCUAUCUAGAUAUGAAUACAAAUUUAAUUCAUAUAUGCGAUUUAUGUAUAAGUCACAAAGCAAUUGGCAUCCAUUUUAUAUAUGCAUUCCAUGUUGUUGCUUUAUAUUGCUUGCCGACUUGCACAUGAUAUGCAGUCAAAUCCAUUCCAACCCAAACUUGAUAUAAAUCAAACCAAUUGAAAAUCAGGAAUUGACAAUAAGAUGUGCACUUGUGCUGCUCCCCGCAAUUAAAUGUAUUGAGAUUCAUACAUGAAACAAUGCAUAUACACAGACUCUUUAAUGAAAAAUGGAAAAGUAUAUCUAGACAAAUUUGUUUAUGCAGCAAAGUAUGAUUCCAGACAUCUCACAUAAAUCACAAGUUGGCAUCUAUAGGGAUUUCGAGUUUAAUCAUGCCUUUACAAUUUAUAUAAAUAAACAAGCAUACUCGAAAUAGCAAAAGACCUAAUCAUUAUGCUCCAACUCAUCACACUAUAAUCAUGCAUAUAGGAGAACAAUUAAUCACGCAUGAAACAGUGAAGUGAGUUACAUGAAUGCAUCAUUGGACUCGUAUUCGUCAACCAAUUGCAAUUCCUCGACUCCAAAUUAACGAAAUUACUUAUCCAUCAGUGCUCGAGAAUCGUCCAUGCGGAUUGUCAUCACUCCAAAUUCCCAUGCGGAUUGCCAUCAUAAUCAACACAGCGGAAACAAGAAUUUUGAAAAUCAGAAUUACGAUGUUUAUGAGAGAUGUAUACUGAUAAAUUACUAUACUUAUCACCAAAUAAGCAAACAUGAAAAAGUUCUCUCAACCCCAGAUUGAGAAACACGGUUUCAGAAUAAGUAACUAAUCUUGACACCAAUUCCAUUUAACUCAAUCUAAAUGUUAAACAAAAUUCAAGAAAUUGCAAUAAGAUUUCAAAAUACAUACCCUUUUAUGAAUGGUUUCAGGAUCGUAUCAAUCUUAGCAUCAAUCAUGUAUAAAGAUUGCAGUAUUGUAUAUAUUACAUCAGGAGUUUUGUAUGUAUCAAGGAUCAAAAUUCGAUAAACUUGAUAUAAUACAUCAGGAGUUUUGAAUUAUAAACAUACCUUUGGGAACAAAAGAAAAAUAUAUAUUAUCGCAAAUCCAAAUCUUAAACAAAGAUGGUUGUGAACGAGAAGAUCUAGAAGCAAAGCAUGUUUGGAUCAUCACAACUUCAAACCAAGAAGAGAAAAAAGGUGCAAACCCAGAAAAUUUCGUACAAGGUUAUGAGUUUUGCCAAUAUUCAAUUUAAACAAGGUUAUACGUUUUCUAGGUUUGGAACGUUUAAGUGUUCAUAGCUUUUCCAUCAGAUUCUUGUGUAAAUUUCGAACUCAAUGACAAUAAUCAACUAGGCUCUGAUACCACAUGUAAGAACUUUAACACAGAUCGAUGAUAUGCCAAUUGAAUUACCAAUGUUCUGAAACAAGUCAAGUGACAAAACUUAUGAACAAGAACAAGGAUUGCCGAGAACAUACCUGCAUAAUUUGAACUUGAAGAAACCAUAACAGCCUCUGUGUUCAAAACCUUCUCCUCUUUUACGAUCACAAUAGCUUUUCUAAUCAAUAGGACUUAGAACAACAUAAGCUAAUAUCGCAAGAGCAGUGGUUUGAACCAUAAAUAUAUAGUGCUCCUUCGUCCAUUCCCUAUCAGAAUUGGACUAGGAUUCAAAGACAUACAAACCAUAAAGAUUCAUGAGACUUUAUAAAGUUCCAACACAAAGUUCUUUUCCAAAACCAAUUGGAACUUCUCUCAAGACUGCAUUCCUUAUCAGAUUUAGACUUCUUUAUAAUAUCAAUUAUCCCAAGACUUAUAAGAAUCAUACUCAUACUCUUACAGGGAUGAGAUAAGGAAUGGGACCCUGACAAAGACUGGUAAUAGUAUUAGUAAUUAGUCUUCGGUAGUUCAAAGACGACCGUGGAACCAAGUUUGAAUGCACUCCUCCCCUUUUUUUUAUUCUUGAAUUAAAAAAAUCAAAAAGGAAAAUUAAUAGGUUGAAAUAAAAAUAUAAAAAAAGUACAAAAGAAGGAAACGGUGUGAAGAAAGUCCCUCUACAAUACGUAAUACUUUUGUUACAUUUUUGAAAGUCAAUUGCAUGUUGCCGUGCAUUUUAAUUUUUGAGUAUAGAAUACUUGAUAUAUUGUCAAUUAAUCAUCCGUAUUUUGUCAAUUAGUGUCUGGUACCUAUGGAUCCUUUAAUCUGGACCGUACAACUAACAGUCCUGAUUUGAUUUGCACAUCAAUCAAUGGUCCAAAUUAAAGGAUCUAUAAGCUCCAUAACGAAUCCAAUUCCUAAAAAAUUUGAUCGUAUAAUGAAUAAUGAAUGUACCAAACUCCCACAAAGAAGAUCCGGAGAGAAUCCUCUUCCUAUCAUGUCGAUAUCGUGGAGCAAAAGGUAACAGUCAGCAAACGAAGUUGAUAGGAUAGGGGUACUGUGAUUGAUACAAGUGCAAAGACGACGAGGGAUAAAGUGAUACUUUCGUGCUAGUUCCGAGGACAUUUUGGUAACUAAGCCAUAUUUAGUACUCUUUUUUGGUGUCGUAUCAUUCUCUCUCUCAAAGAUUAAUUAUAAGAGAACUUUAACAAAAAGCUUCAUGUAUUAUUUAUUUUAAUAAAAAAUUAUAUUUUUACACUAAAAAGUUAAUUAUGGUAUUAUUCACUUUAGUUUUUUUUUUAUAGUUAAAACUCAAAGUUUUCAAGUAUUUUUUAUUAAUUUUCCUUAAUUAUGAUUUACAAAUAGUAGCUGAAAUGGGUCUCUUUUUUCUUUAUAUGCAAUUGUAUUUCAUUACUUCUUUUGUCUUUUUCUUCAGCACUGAAAAAAAAAAAAGAAAAUUGCUUUCAUACAUCAUUUCUCAUUUUAUCACACUUUUGUUUUGUUGUAUUUAGAUUGAAAUCACUAGCGACAAAAAUUGUCCGAAUGGAAUCGUUUUAGUUGUUCCCGACUAAUAUAAAAGUCCUAACAAAGACCGACAAGAGCAACGUGGGGCUGGUAAAAAAAAGUUGAGUCAAAAUCGCUACCCAGAAAAUUGUCCGGAAAGAAUCUUUUUAUAGCUGUUCCCAUCUGUCUAGUUUGAUGAAUGGAAGUUCCGAGGAAGGUUGCUUUGCUUUAACUUUAUCACGUUCACAUUGAAGGUGGUAGGAAACUGCUGCUUCACAUUGAAGGCAGAAAAUCAUGCGAAAGGCCUGAUAUAUAACAAGAACGAAUUCUUGGUGCAAGUACCAGUCCAGCAUCCAUACUCAAUUCUUUGAAAGGCCCUUACCUAGAUUUCUCCAAUGAACAAUCAACUUGUCUCUUCUUCUUCCUUCAGCAGUCCUCCUUUGUGGAAGUACGAUGUCUUUUUGAGCUUUAGAGGAGAGGAUACACGAACCAAUUUUACAGAUCAUUUUUACAAGGCGUUGGACGGCAAGGCAAUCACCACGUUCAUUGAUCACCAACUUAAAAGAGGAGAAGGAAUAUCUCAGGCUCUUCUCGAAGCAAUUGAUGAGUCGAGAAUUUCGAUCAUUAUAUUAUCUAAAAACUAUGCAUCUUCAAGAUGGUGCUUGGAAGAGCUCGUACGUAUCCUUGAAUGUAGAAAGUCAAGGAAGCAAAUUGUUUUGCCAGUUUUUUACAAAGUGGAUCCGUCCGAUGUACGAAAGCAAACGAGUAGUUUGGUGACGCGUUUACAGAAAAGUUCAAAUUCGAAGACAACAAGGAGAAGAUCCUCACAUGGAGGAGUGCUCUUACAGACGCAGCAAAUUUAUCAGGAUAUACUUUCAAAGAGGGAGAGUACGUAUAUUUCUUCCCCUUAUACUGCCUUUAAUCUGAAAAGAUGACUUUACCUGAAAUUCAAUUUUCUUUACAUAAAACCCAACCUAGUUUUUGUGCUUGACUAAUUAAGCUUAACAAGUUACAUUUUAUAUCUUUUGGUUUCCUAAAAUACCCCUAAUAACAAUUUGAUUCUCUAGCAUAUUUAUAUCCAUUUAUUGUGUUAAACCUAUUGCAAGUUUAACUGGUCACUAGUACUCAUUGUGUUAAAUUUCGAAUUGGCUGGAUUAAUUACCCGAGUGUACCCAUUUUUUGUUGUUCAAAUUUUAAAUUUAUUAAUAUUUUUUGGUUUCCUAAUUUUGUUUGAAAAAUCAAUUUACCUACGUUUUUGAAAAAUUAACUUACAAAUUACUGAUUUUGAUUAAUAAUGUACCUAUGGUGUUGUUUUAUAAUUUACCGAUUACUAAUGAUGUUAGGUAAAUUAGUACUUUUAGGAAAGAAAUGAUACAUAUCCAUACAAAACAUCUUUUUUCAUCCGAACAACAACAUAACAUUUAAAUGCAAAAAAAAAGGUCCAUGUCUUAUGGAAAGAUGUUAGGAUUUUACAGAGUAAUAAACGGCAAUGUGAAAUUGUGAAUAAUGGAAUAGGGGUAAAUCAUUUUAUUAAUGGGUCAAUUAUUAUCUUACAUGAUUCUGUAUUUAGUUGCAAGCGGCACAUGCUUGACUGUAUCAGUGAUUAUCCAUACCUCUGUUUUUUUUCAAUCUUUUUUAUCUUUUCAUUCUCUUCUUCUUUUUACCUUUUUUUCUUUUUUCAAAGAAAUAUAGCAUAAAAAGUUGAUUGACUAAAUGUGUCAAUUUUUUUAUAUAAACUGGUAGGUAUGAAGCUACAUUUAUCAGUAAGAUCGUGGAGGAGAUCUUCGUCCCCGUACAACAAUGCACGCAUUUGAAGGUAGCCAAUUACCCAGUUGGAAUGGAGUCUUGUGUAGAAAAGGUGAAAGAGCUUUUAGGUGUCAGGGGAAAUGAUCCGUGUGUGGUUGGGAUUUGGGGGUCAUUUGGAAUCGGCAAGACAACAGUUGCAAAAGCUGUUUAUAAUGCAAUUGCUUAUGAGUUUGAAGGUAGUUGUUUCCUGGCAGAUGUUCGAGAAACGUCAAUACAAUACAGAGGCCUACUCCAACUACAAAACACUCUUCUGAGUGAGAUUGGUGGUUCAGAGUGGAAAGCUGUCAAUCUUCAUAGAGGAAACAUCCUUAUAAAGAAACUGUUGAGGGGAAAGAAGAUUCUCUUAAUUCUUGAUGAUGUGGAUGAUUUUGAGCAGUUAGACAACUUGGUUGAAGUCCAUCAGUUAGGUGAGGGUAGCAGAGUGAUCAUAACCACAAAAAAUAAAGGAUUGCUGGAAUCUUGUAAAGUUGAGCUGAUAUACAAGGUCCAAAAGUUAGAAGACAACAAAGCUAUUGAGCUUUUUAGUUGGAAUGCCUUCGGAAAAGAAAAACCUCCAGAUGAUUAUUUGGGACUCGCACGACGUGCAAUAGCCUAUGCUCAAGGCCUCCCGUUAGCUCUUAAUCUUAUAGGUUCUCAUCUGCGUGGUAAAAAUAUAGUUCGUUGGCAAGAUAUUUUGGAUAGUUACGAUGAAGAACCUCAUAGAGGGAUUCAAAGAGUACUUCGGAAAAGUUAUGAUACCUUGGAAUAUGUCCAACAACAACUUUUCCUAGACAUUGCAUGCUUCUUCAAGGGUGAAGAUAAAGACAAAGUGUUACAGAUAUUAAAAGGAUCAAAUCUCAAAGUACGUCAACAUUGUAUUGAUGUUCUCGUUGAGAAUGCCAUUAUAACUAUUGAACAUAAUAGGAUUUUGAUGCAUGACUUGCUAGAACAAAUGGGUAAGCAUAUAGUUUGGGAAGAAUCGCCCACUGAACCAGACAAGCGGAGCAGAUUGUGGCUUCCUAAAGAUGUGUACCGUGUUCUAACUGAAAACAGAGUAAGUAGAAUAUAUGUUCUUGCAUUUGAUUUAAUUGGCAUGAUUUUGGAAACACAAAAAAAAUUAAAAUCCUUUUGAUUUCUUUGUUAUAUGAUUUGUUUGUUAACACUAUUUAUUUUUCCAUCUUAGGGAACAAAGAAAAUUAAAGGCAUUGUGGUGAAGUUGCCCGUGCCAGAUGUGAUACCCUUGAAUACAAAAAGCUUUUCCAAGAUGGUAAAUCUUGAAUUUUUUAUAAUUCGUAAUGCACACUUUUCUGAAUGCGUUGAGGAUUUACCCGACGAUUUGAGGUGGAUUGAAUUCGGUGGGCUUCAUUACUGGGGAUCCAAUAUUCUUCAAAAGCAUAUACUUACAUUCAAUUUGCAAUCCAAUUGUCAUAUCAGAAAUCUUGUCACGUUUAUUAUGCCAAACAGUGACAUCAAACAAUUGAAGGUGUUUCAGGUAUGUAUACUUAUUAUAAAUGAAUUUGGACAAUUACUAAUUUAAUUGUAUAUUUUAUUUUUGGAAAAAGAAAUUUGCCAAAGCUUUUCAUUGUUAAUUAUUCUAUUUAAAGUUUGUGAUUUUUUUUUCUUUUGAUUUUGAUUUCACAGAUUUGGCAAUGCUUACAUCUUUGAAUUUAAGUGGUUCCCAAUUCUUAGAAAAAAUUCCCAACUUAUCCGGAAGUCCAAACCUAAAGAAGUUGAUUCUAAAUGAGUGUAACCGUUUAGUUGAAGUUGAUGAUUCUGUUGGAUUCCUUGAUAAACUUAAUAGAUUAAGUCUUAAUGGGUGCUCUAGGCUUGAGAGAUUUGCGACGAGACUUAGAUUGAGAUCCCUUCGUAGACUUACUCUUUAUGGUUGUACAAGGCUCAAGAGUUUCCCAGAAAUAGAGGCCGAGAUGGAAUCUCUAUAUGAUUUGGACAUAUCAAAAAGUGGCAUAAGAGAAUUGCCUUCAUCAAUUGCAUAUCUUACCGGGCUUAAAUUUUUGUCGGCAAGUUAUUGUGAGAACCUUACAGGUACAUCCUUACAUCACAGUUAUGGGUUGCAACAUCUCUACCGUAUUGAAAUGAUUAGAUGCCCAAAACUGGUGACAUUUGGGAAGUUUUCAACUCGCUUAGACACUUCACAUUACAACGGUAUCCCAUUAGCCAUUUUCAACGCAUGCAAGCUUUAUCUUGUUGAAUGCAAUUUAUCAGAAAGUGAUUUCCUUGUGCCUCUUCAAUAUGAACCAUCCAGUCUUCAUUGCUGGUCCACAUUAAUAGAACUUGGUCUGUCGGGAAACAAUUUUGUUAGUCUUCCGGAAUGCAUUAGCAAAUUUGUCAACUUGGAAAUACUUUGGUUGACUGGUUGCAAGAGGCUUCGGGAAAUUCCACAUGCCCUUCCACCAAAUCUAAGGGAAUUAUAUCUGAAUGAUUGCACAUCAUUGGAGAAAAUUCCAAAGUUGCCCUCGGGGCUUAGGUGUCUGCAGUUGACUAAUUGCUUUGGACUAAGUGGCGAUGAGGUGGCAAAGUUGGAAAAUAAUUUGUUGAACUGGAAUCAGGUUCGUCUCUCCUCUCUUAAUUUCUCUUGAAAUUAAAAUAUUUAAUUUGUUGAUACUUGGGAGGGAGAACAGAUCAUGAUUGUUUGUAGUUAUUUACGUAUUAUUCACUAUUGCAGGAAUUUCUUCGGUGCUCUCAAUUGCAAGUUACGUAUCCAGGCGAUGAAAUUCCAAAGCGGUUUAGCUAUACCUCUAAACAUCUAACAGCCACUAGGAUUGAAAGUGUAGGAAAAGGUACAAGGCAACAUGAUUAUGUUGGAGGUGGUGAAUUUAGUUUUGAAAUUUCUCUAAAUUUACAGGAGAGGGAGACGUUAUUAGGAUUGGCUCUAUCUUGUGUUUUUCCACCACAAUUGACUGGAGGGAUUUGUUAUUACUACAAUCUUCGUCUUUACAUCAACGAAGCAAGUGAUUAUCAACAAUUUAGGUGGAUAGUGGAAGGCAAGGAGGCUCAUGUGGGGCUAGUGUUAGUGGAUUUAGAGAACCAGGGAGAAAGCCCAUGUGGGGCUCAUGUUAGUGGAGAUAUUUGUAAAGUUAAAGUUCAAUAUCCCAACUACUCGAGCAUUAAAAGCUGCGGGGUGCAGCCCCUAUUGCGCAAAGGAGAUGAACGGCUUCCCUCGUCUUUGGAACCAACGAGUAGCCUUGGAUCCUCAGAUAUCGUCAAUGAUGAAUAUGAUCGGCAACAACAAUGGCCUUCCUUAUCUUUGAACCCAGCGGAUGAUCAUCCGACACACACACAGAUUGAUCACAAUGUUCCUUCUGAUAUUGAGGAGGAGCAAGAGCAACCGUCCACCAUUUCUGAUUUACUAGGAGUUUGGGUACGUACAUUUCAGUUUUAGCCAUUUUUUUAUUAUUCUUUAUUGUGAUAUCUUUUUUAAAUUAAUAUAAUAAUAAUUAAUUAAUUUAAAUUAAAUAAAGGAAAAAAUUUGAACAGUUUGCAAUCUGCAUAAUCAAAGAUUUCAUAUCUUUAGAAACAAAGAUUUCAUAUCUGCAGGUGGUUAGGCCAUCUCCAACCGAUAGCUGGUCAGAGGGUUCGUUUUAACCAUCUGGCCCUCCAAGAUUCUUCAAGAUAUUAAUAUUUUAAUGAACAGUACAUGACCAUAUUUGCCUCCGUCUCCAACCGAGGGUCAUAGGGCCAAACAUAAUUUAUUAUUUAAAAACUACAACUUAAAUUCAAAUCCAACGGCUAAGUGACAAAUUUAAUUUAAUGUUGUUUCAUGUUACUUAAUUUAAUUUAAUGUUGUAUAAUGGCUUAGGAAGUUAUAGGAAAAAAAUAGAAUUUAAAAAAAAUAUGAAACAAAUUUUGUGAAAUAGAAGUUAUAGAAAAAAAUGGAGUUUAAAAAAAAAUAUGAAACAAGUUUUGUGAAAUAAAAGUUAUAGGAAAAAAAAUAGAAUUUAAAAAAAAUAUGAAACAAAUUUUGUGAAAUAGAAGUUACAGGAAAAAAAUGGAAUUUAAAAAAAAUAUGAAAUAAAUUUUGUGAAAUAGAAGUUAAAGGAAAAAAUUGAAGUUGUAUGAAAUUUUUUGUGAAAUAGAAGUUAUAGGAAAAAAUAGAAGUUAUAGAAAGUUAUAGGAAAAAAUAGAAGUUAUAUGAAAAUUUUUGUAAAUAAAAAAUAAUAAUAAAAAUGUAAAAAAAAAUAUAUAUCAAAUGAAACCCAACGGCUAGCUGAGUCAGCUAGCCGUUAUAUUAAAAAAAAUUCCAAACUAUUAGUGUCGGUUAUAAUUGACACUAAUAGUAAAUAAAUAAAAAAAUUUGCCUAUGAAUACCUAUUACUGUCGGUUAUAACCCACAGUAUUAAAAAAUUCUUCUUUAAUGUUGUCGGUUAUAUCUGACAGCAAUAGGGAAACUAUAAAAAAAAAAAUAGCCAGCCCGGGGCUGGCUGGCCGAAAGCAGCCAGCCCUUUGGCCCUUUGAAAUUCCGUGGGGCCCUCCCAGAUUCCAGAGCCCUCGGUUGGAGACGGUUUUAGGGCUAUUUUCGGCCCUCUGGCCCUCUGGACCCUUCGGUUGGAGAUGGCCUUAGUUCUUAGAAAAACAGAAACCACAUUUGUGUCUUGAUGUACCUUUUACUGAUAAAAUCAAAUUCUAAUUAAUCAAAACAAACAAUUAUGGAAGGAAAAUAUACAAGGGGAAAUGAGAUUAUAAGUACAAAAUUCAAGAUUAAUUACCUAAAAACUUGGUUUUGUUCGUAUAAGUACAAAAUUUCUACACGAAGAUCAAAGAACUACAUCGUUUGGAUGAACAUGUAAACCACAUGCUUCUCUCUCUGUUAAUUAAGUUUACACGCAGAGAUGGAAGUCUUGUAGGACUACUGUUUAAUCAAGAGUCCCAGGUUUGCAACUAUUUUUUUAUUAGCAUUUACUUCUGCUUUUUUAAUUAAUGAAUAGGUGGAAAUUUGAUUCGGUGUUGAUUAUAAGAUUUAGUAGAAUUUUAAUAUCAAGAGGAGAUAACAAUGUAGAAAACAUAGCCCCUUGAAUCAACUUGAUUGAUCUCGACCCUCAUGAUCUCACGGGUCUCGGCCUGCUUCGGUUGUUUAAAUUUCUGGUGUAAGCCAAGAAAGUGAACUCAUUAAUGUUGCUGCUCUAGUUAGUCAGCCUGCUUUUUCUGACAAGCCUGCGGUCUCUUUAUGUUCCACCAUGGGAAGCUGGGAGUGAAGCGUGCAUUAGUUGUUGGAAUUGGACUUCAAAUUCUUCAACAGGUUUGGUAGAAAAAGUUAAAAGGAAAAUUUUAUUUAAAACCAUGUAACUUUUUUUCUACACUCCUCAGGUGUAUGAGCAGGCCCGCGUCGCCAUUCUUCUAUCUAACAUAGGGUUGAAUCCAACAUUUGCAUCUCUCUUCGUAAGUGCCAUUACAAUUGUCUUAAUGGAUAUAGCUGGCAGAAGAUAAUUUCGAACACCUUCGGUUUCCUAGAACCGAUUACUAACUUUUAAUCAAAAUUAUAACUAGGGUAAAUUAUCCAAACGAUAAAAUAAAGUUUAGUGUCACUCCAUUUCCAUUUUAGACUAAAAGUUUGUAACCGGUUCUAUCUAUAUGCAUAUUUGCAAAAAAUAAGCUUUCCUUUUUGCCUUUCUUGGUAUGCCGGUCGCUGCUGCUCUCCACAUUACAUUGUCCCUCACUCUUCUUGUAGUUGCCAACAUUGUCAACUUGGGAACUGUUCUGAAUGCAACAAUUUCCACCGCCGUGCCUGCUGCUUCGUCAUGGCAUUUGGAGUAACCCCGAACAUUCUCUGCGCUGAGAUCAUCCCUACGAGCAUCCACGACCUCUGCAUUGCCAUCUGAGCCCUCACAUUCUGGAUUGGAGACAUCAUCAUCACUUACGCAUUUCCUGUCAUGCUCUUCUCCGUUGGAUUUGCUGGCAUCUUGGGAAUCUAUGUUGUCCGGUGCAUUGUUCCUGGAUAUUUGUUUACUUGAAGGUGCCUGAAACUAAAGACAUGCCUCUUGAAGUUAGCUGCUGCUGAUGCAUCUGUUGGAUUCCAAUGAUAACUGAUUUGAUUGUUCAGAGGAUUUGAAAGUUUGGUUUGGCUUUAGACUGGGAUUACGAGGACAGGAUUUGAGUUGGAAAAAGUGCUGAUGACUGGAUUGCAUUUUUAGAAAGUGAUUUUGUAAUCAUCACUAUCCCUCACUUAAUUCUGCACCAGUAUCUUUGGUACCAAAAAAUCAAUUCUCUUGGGUCAUAAGCUCAUAAGUGACAUGUUUUGUUCGACUAUUUGCCUCACUUAAUAUUAAUUUGACCUGCCUACUUUAACUAUUUAUUUAUACAAAUAUUUGUACUAUCUUUCUAAUAGAGAUAAGACGUAUAUAUAUUUGCGAGCCGUACUUCUAUUAGAAAAAUUAUAUGUAAAUAGAUGAUAAAUGUAGCAUUACUAUUUUUAUAAUAUGUUUUAAAAUUUUGAAAAAAAAAAAAAAGGAACUGUUUUUAACUGCAGGCCUAAAGCAGAGCCCUGUUGCCGCCUAGCAAUAGAAAAGUCUUCACCAAAUUGAGUUAGAAGAAUUAGGGUUUUAGAGCUCCAAAGAUCCAAACUUUAUCAGUCUCUCCGAAAGUAAUUAGAGAAAUGGAAACCCAAUCAAAGGACGGAGACUCUCUGGAGAAGCGGCCCGGCAUCUUCUUCCUCGGCUCCCCCGGCGUCGUCGAACGCUCUCUCAUUUCCCGUAUGCUCUCUAUCUUUCUCUCUCCUUUGGUCGAUGCUAAAUUCAUGACCUCUUGAUUUCUAGGCUUACUGGAUUUGAAUUUUUGACGAUGCUUCUGAUUAUUCAUCGUCAUCUCAGCUGGUAGUUGAUGGGUAUGUAAAAUUUGAAUUUUGGGAUCAAAGAAUUCAACUCUUAGAAAUUUUGGGAACAAACAAUUCGUUUUGAAUUCUUUUGAAAUGUGUAUUUUGAUGAUUUUUGUUGUAAAGAAAUAGAUGGAAUAUCUCUACAAAUUACUACACAGCUGGUGUUUUGGUAUGGAUGGCUCAUCUCCAUGACGAAUUUUUUGCAGAGGCCCUCCCAAUGUAUGAGCAGUUGGCUGCCUUGAUCUUGGUUUUCGACACAACUGAGGUUUUGGUCUCUUGCCACUCACUCUUUGUCACUUUGUUUACUUGUUUAUCAUGAUUUUCAAUGUGUCUUAUAUCAAUUUGCUCUCAUUAUGCUGCAGUUGUCGUCUCUGUCUGCGCUUAAGAAAUGGGUAUCUCAAACUGAUCUUCAAAAGUUCGAUAUACUAGUAUGCGUAGGGAAUAAGGUUGAUCGUGUUCCGGGUCACCCGGUUCAUGCCGAAUAUAGAAGACGACUGCAGAAGCUUGGAGACCCGUUUGCUGAUGCCGGUCCAGGGUUCACUGCGUAGGGAAUCUCCGAGACUGAAGGAAGCAGGUUUAUUGGGGGAUGACGAACCAUUUUGGGAGGCAAGGCACACAUGUUUGGAAUGGUGCACUGAGCAUAACAUUGAGUUCGUCGAAGGUUGUGCUUCAAAUGCUGAUUUUGACAGAUGUAAGGUAGCCCUUCUUUCUGACUUGUAGUUUAUGGCAAGUUUUAUACGAACGUGAAAAAUAAAAAGUAUGCUGCUCGAGGGUAGAAACGUCGUGCAAUUAGGAUGAUUGAAGAUAGAUCGAAGGUAGCCCUUCUUUUUGGCUGUUCCGAUCACAUCCUUCUUGGGUAAACUAAAAGAGAAUUGACGGUAGAAAUGAAUGCACUUUGGUAUGUGUUGAAUCUUUAUCGAUCCCUCUUUUUUUAAUGUUUAACAAUUGAACUCAUUAAUAUUAAAAUAGAUAAAAAUGAUAAAAAGAGUACGAACAAAAAAAAUCUUAAAUGCUUUUGUUGCAGUCUUUCAAGUUAAUUGUGUAUUUUCAUGCAUUUUAACCUUUGUAUGUACAUAAUUGAUUUGUCAUACGGUCAUAGUAGCUUGACAUCGUUUAUGUGUCAUGGGGUGAAAAGAACAUGUGCUUCAAUAACAAACAAAAAAAAAAUGAAAAUUGUUUGAAAUUUUUGAGUUUUCAUGAUAAGGACAAAAUAAAGGAUAAAGUGAAUAGUAUCAAGAUUGACUUUUUAGUAUAAAUUAUUUUCUCAUUUGUGAUAGAAAAAAUCACCUUAAAUGACUCACCUUUCUUCAUGUAUGUGACAUUAUUUAUAUGGUUCAAAAUGACACAAACCGGAUAUAAAUAAUGUGGGGGUGUGGUUAAGGAAAAAAUGCAUUAUUACUUUGGUAACUUAGAAACCACCUAUUGUUGGUGAAACCAGAAUUUUCCUAACAUUUACUCACUGAUGUUAUCGUUUUGUAAAAAAAUAAAGAUAAACUCUGCACCUCCAUCCUUUUUUCAACGCACUGCAUAUUCCUCUGCUUUUCUCUUGUUUUUAUUUUUUUAUUUUUUUUCUCGUUACGAAAAUGAAAAUUAUCCAAAAAGAAUGGUAUUAGCUAUUCCCCAUCCUAAAUGGAAGCGUGAAGGGAUGAGAUAGGGAAUGGGACCCUGACAAAGACUGAUAAUAGUAUUAGUAAUUAGUCUUCGGUAGUUCAAAGACGACCGUGGAACCAAGUUUGAAUGCACACCUCCCUUUUUUUUUUAUUCUUGAAUUAAAAAAAUCAAAAAGGAAAAUUAAUAGGUUGAAAUAAAAAUAAAAAUUAAGUACAAAAGAAGGAAACGGUGUGAAGAAAGUCACUCUACAAUACGUAAUACUUUUGUUACAUUUUUGAAAGUCAAUUGCAUGUUGCCGUGCAUUUUAAUUUUUGAGUAUAGAAUACUUGAUAUAUUGUCAAUUAAUCAUCUGUAUUUUGUCAAUUAGUGUUUGGAGCCUAUGGAUCCUUUAAUUUGAGACGUACAAAUUGAAUUCAACCGUCUUCAUUAAUUCAUUUUCCUGACCCAUCGCACACAACUAACGGUCUUGAUUUGAUUUGCACAUCAAUCAACGGUCCAAAUUAAAGGAUCUAUAGGCUCCAGACAUUAACAUCCAAAACGGAUCCAAUUCCUAAAAAAAUUGAUCGCGUACCAAACUCCCACAAAGAGGAUCCGGAUCCUCUUCCUAUCAUGUUGAUAUCGUGGAGCAAAAGGUAAUAGUCAGCAAACGAAGUUGAUAGGAUAGGGGUACUGUGAUUGAUACAAGUGAAGACGACGAGGGAUAAAGUGAUACUUUCGUGCUAGUUCCGAGGACAUUUUGGUAACUAAGCCUUUAUAUUUACUACUCGAUUUGAUUUAUAAUUAAUACUCUUUUUGGGUGUCGUAUCGUUCUCUCUCUCAAACACUAAUUACAAUUUGCAGCUCGUAGCUGAAAUGGGGUCCCUUUUUUCUUUAUAUGCAAUUGUAUUUCAUUACUUCUCUUGUAUUUUUCCUCAGCACUGAAAAAAAAAAGGGAAAAUUGUUUUCAUACAAAAAUUGUCCGAAAGGAAUCGUUUUAGCUGUUCCCAUCUGUCUAAUAUAAAAGUCCUAACAAAGACUGACAAUAGUAACCUGGGGCUGGUAAAAAAAAGUUGUGUCAAAAUCGCUACCCAGAAAAUUGUCCGGAAGGAAUCUUUUUAUCACGUUCACAUUGAAGGUGGUAGGAAACUGCUGCUUCCUACAUGGGCAGAAAAUCAUGCGAAAGGCCUGAUAUAUACGACAAGAGCGAAUUCUUGGUGCGAGUACCAGUCCAGCAUCCAUACUCAAUUCUUUGAAAGGCUCUUCCAUUUACCUGGAUUUCUCCAAUGAACAAUCAACUUGUCUCUUCUUCUUCCUUCAGCAGUCCUCCUUCGUGGGAGUACGAUGUCUUUUUGAGCUUUAGAGGAGAGGAUACACGAACCAAUUUUACAGAUCACUUUUACAAGGCGUUGGACG